rnacentral:lncRNA from 1 species
CCUGAACAAAGCUUGCCCGAAGGACUUCUAUCCUCUACCUCACAUUGAUUAACUUAUCGAUGCGACUUCGGGGUAUGCACUACUAAGAUUUAUGGAUGCUUUUUCAGGUUAUCAUCAAAUUUCUAUGUGCAAAGAGGAUAUUCUGAAGACAACUUUCAUCAUGCAUCGUUCGAUGUACGCUUACAAGAAAAUGACAUUUGGCUUAAUCAAUGCUGGAGCCACUUAUCAAAGAAUAAUGACUUUGUCUUUCAAAAGCAGCUAGGAAGGAAUAUGGAGGUAUAUGUGGAUGACAUGAUAGUGAAAAGCAUGAUCGUUCAGAAGCACUUGGAUGAUCUUGAGGAAUGCUUUCAGACGGUUCGUCAUCACAAAUUAAGGCUUAAUCCCACCAAAUGCACUUUCAAACUCGGUGCAGGGAAAUUCUUAGGUUAUCUGGUCAGUCAGAGAGGCAUUGAGGCCAAUCCAGAGAAGAUCCAGGCUAUUCUGAACAUGAAGACUCCUCAGUCAUUCAAAGAUAUUCAGCGUCUGACAGGGAGGAUUGCAUCUUUGAGGAGGUUCAUGUCCAAGUCAGCAGAGAGGUGUUUGCCGUUCUUUAGCACGUUGAAAGGAUCGAAGAAUGCCAAGACGUUCCAAUGGAAUUCAGAAUAUGAAGAUGCUUUCCAAGGCAUAAAGACGCAUUUGUCUUCGGCACCUUUGCUGGUGAAGCCAGUUCCUGCUGAACCACUGUAUCUGUAUCUGGCAGCUAGUUCGUUGGCGGUGGGAGCAGUGCUGGUUCGAGAAGUUGGGGGGAAGUAGCAUCCAGUUUACUAUGUCAGUCAUGUUCUAAGGGAUGCUGAAACCAGGUACCCAAAUAUUGAAAAUUUUGCCUUUGCUUUGAUAAUAGCCAGUCGAAAGCUUAGGCAAUAUUUUCAAGGUCGAUUCUUGGUCGUUUACACGGAUCAACCGCUGAAGAAGGUGAUGAGCAAACCAGAAGUUUUGGGGAGAUUGGUUGCAUGGACAAUGAAAUUGUCCCAAUUUUUCAUCGAAUUUCAUCCCCGAACAGCUAUAAAGGGGAAAGCCUUGGCUGAUUUUAUGGUGGAGUGUUCAUUUUCCGAAGCUGAUGCAGAGUUGCCAAAGGCUGAAGUGUCCGACCGAGCAGUUGUAGUUCUUCAGCACAACCAGAGUUCGUGGACGCUGUAUGCAGAUGGAUCUUCAACUACGGAUGUCAGUGGAGCAGGGAUUAUCUUGACAAGUUCGGAGGGAUUCAAGGUGCAGCAGGCCAUCAGAUUUGGGUUCAGAGCAACGAACAACGAGGCAGAGUACGAAGCAGUGCUAGCGGGAGUUCGACUGGCGAAGAGUCUCGAAGUUCAGAAGUUGAUCAUCUAAAAUGACUCUCAGUUGGUCGUCAAGCUGGUUUCAGGGGAGUAUGAAGCUCGAGGUUCAAGGAUGAUCAAGUAUUUGGCCGAGUUGAAGGAUCGACUUCAAUAUUUUCUCUCCUAUGAGUUUCAGGGUGUAGAUCACAAUGACAAUUCUAUUUCCGAUGCAUUGUUGAAGUUGGAUACUACAGAUGCCAACAAUUUUGAUGGGUCAGUUUAUUUGGAGGUUCUGCAACAGCUGAGUAUUCAGCAUGAAGCCGUGAUGUGCAUUGAACGUUCUAACUGUUGGAUGACUCCCUAUAUAGAAUAUCUGGCAGAUGGCAUCCUUCCUUCGGAUCAGAUGCUAGCAAAGAAGAUCAAGUAUAAGAGCGCUAAUUUUGUUCUCAUUGAUGGAGAUCUUUAUCGAAGGGCUUUUUCAUCACCUUUGUUGAAGUGUCUAGUUCUAUCUGAAGCCGAAUAUGCUCUUCGAGAGGUUUACGAGGGCAUCUAUGGCGACCAUAUGGCUGCUAAGUCAUUAGCCUUCAAAGUACUUCGACAGGGAUUCUACUGGCCUACUAUCUUCAAGGAAGCUACAGAGUACGUGAAGAAGUAUGAAAAGUGUCAGCUCAAUAGCCCAAUCCCGCAUCAGCCACCAGAAGAGCUAUACUCGAUCUUAUCUCCUAUACCCUUUGCUGUCUGGGGGGGUAGAUAUACUGGGUCCAUUGUUGAAAGAUAAGGGUCGGGUCAGUUUUGUUAUAGUCGCUAUUAAUUAUAUGACCAAAUGGGUAGAAGCGAAGCCACUUAGGUUGAUAACGGAACAAGAGUGCUUGAAGUUCAUGGAGGAGUCAGUAGUGUUUCAUUUCGGAAUUCCUAAGGUGGUGAUAUCGGACAACGGAUGCCAAUUUGUGGGAUCGAAGUUUGAAGGAUUUCUGAAGGAGUUGGGAAUUCAACAUAGAAAGACUUCGGUGGCUCAUCCACAGUCGAACGGGCAGGUCGAGGUGACCAACAGAACGCUGCUGAAUGGGAUCAAGCGCAGACUGGAUGAAGCUAAGGGGAGAUGGCCUGAAGAGCUUCUCAGCGUGUUGUGGGCUUAUCGAACUACUCCGAGGACCACUACAGGGGAUUCACCUUUCAGACUGGCCUAUGGUACUGAUGCCUUAGUCCCAGUUGAAAUUGGAUCUCCAAGUCUUCGGGUUAGUUAGUUCAAGGAGAUCUACAAUGAUGAAGGACUGAAAGUCAACAUGGAUCUGUUGGAAGAAGUCAGAGAGACAGCUUUGAUCAGAUUGGUAACCUAUCAGCGAAGAGUGGCUAAACAUUACAAUAAGGGGGUAAAACUUCAUAGAUUUGAAGUGGGAGAUUUUGUCCUCGGGGAAGUCGAAGCUUCUACACCUCAGAACUUGGAAAAGCUGAUGCCGAACUGGGAAGGACCGUAUGAAGUAGUUGAAGUUCCGAAGCCAGGAACUUAUCGGUUAAGGGCAUUGGACGGAUCCGAGAUCAAGAACACUUGGCAUGCUGGUAGAGUUCAGAAGUAUUUUCAGUAAAGAUCGAGUCAGUAUCCCGGAAGUCUGUAAAUGUUGGAUCAUCAUCAAUAAAAUAUUCACUUUUUCACAAUUGAUCUUCUUCCUAUUGGUUCUAAAUUCACAAUGGUGUAAAGAGGACGGGGUGGACUCGCUGACCAUUCGAUGGUAGCCUUUUUGGCAGGUGUUCCUUAUAAAUUUGUCAGGCCCUUCGUGGUAGGCAAACUUCAUCGGUGUAAGAAGGACGAGGUGGACUCGCUGACGAUUCGAUGGUAGCCUUAUCGGCAAGAGUGUUCUCAUGGGUUUGUUAUACCCUACGUGGUAGACAAAUUCCAUAGUCCUUUUAUGAUUUGUUUUACACCCCGAGUGGUAAACAAAUGCACCGAAGUAAGGAGGUUCGGUUGGACUCGCUGACCAUUCGAUGGUAGCCCUAUUGUUAGGUGUGUCCUAUUGAAUUUGUUCUACCCCGAGUGGUAAAUAGAUGUCCUUAUAUACUUGUUUCACCCCGAGUGAUAAACAAGAUCCUGAUGGUGCAAGGAGGAUCAGCCGAAUUCACCUUAUGCCUAAUCUGUCUCACACUUCGGUAACGAUAAGUAUGCAUUAUUUUAUUUUGUUCAAGUGUUGAGUUCGGUUCAUUAUGUCCGGUAUAUGAUAUUCUUUAACUUAAUUGAUUAUAUGAUCUGUUUGCUUACCUGGUUCACAAAUUUAAGUUAAGUUCAAACGCAUCUUAUACAGUUUUGAAGUUGAUUGAUGCUGAAUUAUUGACAAGAAAUGAACUAUACUGAAGUCAUAAGGAGUAAAGUUAACUAUUCAUUAAUACUUAACCGAUUACAUCAAAAAGGAUGAAAAUUCUUUACAAGAUAAACUUAAAUCUAGGAAGAAGUGAUAAACUAUUUCAGGCAUCAUCCUCGCCUUCAGAAGAGUACAGAAGAGCUGGGUCUAGAUGGGCUACAAUCAACUUUUCCUUGCCCCGACCUCUGCAAACUUCAUAACCCUCAGAAUAUACCUUUAGAACUUCUGCAUUCAGCUCAUCGGACUUCCGAUAUUCUUCUUGGAUUUGUUUACGCAGUUCUUCGGUCAGAGGAGGGCUUAACUCCUCUAAUGCCUUUAGUUUAUCUUGAAGCUUGCGACGUCUGGCCAAGUGUCUUUCUUUAUCAUCUCGAGCCUUCUCCUGGAGUUCAUCAACUCGUUUGGCCAAACUCAGAUUGGUUGUAGCCAUUUUUUCAUUUUUUGUCUUCAGAACCUCGUUCUUUUCAACAAGAUUGAUGUUCAUAUUGGUCAGAUCUUGUUGGCUGGCCUUAGUUGUCUUCAGCUCUUCUGUGAACGAGUUCAGUUCUUCCUUGGACGAUUUAAGCUCUUCCUUGGUCUGAGUUAAAUCCUUUUGAAGGCAUUCAUUGUUGAAGAGAGAAAUAUCACAGUCAUGUCUUGCCUUCGCCAUCGCAGACUGUAAUAUUACAUUCUCUUUUCUAGCCGCUUCUUCUGCGGCUUCGGAUUCAAGAUGUUUAGGGCGUAAACGCCCAAAAAUAGCAUUGGCCUGUACAUGUUCAGAAUUAUUUAAUCAAUCUCAGAUAUCUAACCUAAGCAUGAAAAGGAGUAUGAAGAUUGGGGAAGAUCUUUACCUGCGCUAUAUAGCUCAUGCCUUCAUCAAGUAGAUCCCCGAUCGAGCUGUUGCCAAAUCGAUGAUCGUCGGUUUCCCGAACAAACGAAUUGAAGAGCUGGAAGGGAAAGUUGGCAUUAAAUCGGGGCCAUAGAGUUGGCGAUGCCAUUGCUUCAUUUUGGAACUCGUAGGAUGAAGGUCCUAGGGGAGUGGGUAUGGGUUGAUCACGAGGUGGUGAUGGAUCCAUAUAUACAUUCUCAGGAGAUGGAGAUCGAAUUGGAGUAGGUUCUCGAGGUGGUGAUGGAGCAGACGUUGAAUUUGGGUGACUAUCUGAGGGAUGUUUUCUCUUUCGAGACAAUGCUGGAACAGGUUCGACUUGCUCUUCAUCAUCAGAGACAUGUAUCUCCACAAGGACUACAGGAGUUGGAUUAGCUGAAGAUGAAGGCACUCGAAGUUCAUCGGUUGUCAGAGGGGUGACUUUGGUUCUUAAUUUUUUGACUCGAAGGAGUCGUUUCCGAUCGUCUACGGGUAGAUCGAGUAAACUCCCUCGGCCAGAGGUUGGAUUGGUAGUUGGUGCAGGUUCUGGGAUAGUUUCAAUUUCUGGGAUUGUUUCAGGUUCUAUUGGUGUUGGUUUGGAUCUAGGUUUUCGGAUACCUCUCUUUUUUCGGUGUGGUUGAAGGGAUUCUUCUAGGGGAAUGAGGUCAUCGGCUUCUGGCUCAUUUAUUUGAGGUUCAGAAGUAUGUGUUUCAAGGGUUGGAUUGUCUUCGGGUGCAGCUUCUAUCAGGGGAGUUUCAGCAGCUUCCGAAGAUUUUCCAGACAGAAAAUCUUUCAAGUCUUUCACAUCCGAGGAUGUUUGCUUAAUCAAAGACACUGCAAAAGUCAAAAAGUCAUAUGUCAGAAUCUACAUCACUUCAAAUUUCAAAUAAUUGCACAACAAAAUAAUUCAGAACUUACAUUUGUGUUCAUCCAACCAGGCUUGCUUAGUAAGAAGCAGGUAAUUCCAUUCCUUUGACGGGAAGUUCUCGAACAGUUCUAUCAUUUCACUCACAUGUUCCUCUGGGAUGUCACCAAAGUCGGCAGAAACUACGUCAUCAGUGGCCCAGUUCGGCAAGGAGGCAAUCUCUGGUCCCUUAAUGAAGAACCACCCUUUGUGUCAUCCUUUGUUGCUAGAUGGGGUGGAGACCAACGAGCGUCUGCCAAAUUUCUCUCCUAACUUCGGAGAUUGUUUACCCAUGACCUUAAACCCCUUUUCUCGGGAUUGGCUGACCUUGUAGAUAGUGAAGAAGAAAUCGAGAGUGGGCUCUACUCCAACUUCAUGACAGAAUGCGAUGAAGGCCAGAAUAUGGAUGUAGGAGUUCGGUACCAACUGGGCGAACCCAACGCCAAUAAACCCUAGGAGGGUUAUUAUGAAUACAUGAAGAGGGAAUCGAACCCCCUUCUCAAGGAUGGUCACAAGAAUGGUCGUCCAACCUUCUGGCCUUUGAUACAUUCUCUCGCCGGAUCUAGGGGCUCUUACCAUGUGGGUGUCCGGAAUAUGAUAUCGAGUUCGAAUCCUUUUCAGUUCAAUUUCAGUAACGGUUGAUGGAGUGUUAGCAUGAGCAUAGCGUUCUGUACUCCUAUAGAAUUCAGAGGGGGUAGGAGAGGUUUUUGGAGGUGGGUUCUUGCUUGGAUUUGCAGUUUUGGGGUUCGAACUCGAGGCUUCUUUGUUAGGGCUUGGGUUAGGCAGAACGGUGGUGAUUGGAGUCACAGAAGAGGUGAACCUUGCUCGAAAUCUUGAGAAGCCAUGGAUAUCGAGUUGCAGUAAGGAGAAGAGAGUUCGAAGGAGAAGACAAAGAACUCAAGGGUCAGAAAUUCAAAUUGACAGGUAAAACUAUCAAUUUAGGGGAAAUUAUCUUUUAUACUAACGGUUACACAGUACACGAGGGCAGCACAUUAAUUGACAGUCAUAAUCAUGAAUUUGGAGGGGUAGCGUCCAAGAGAAGUUUUGAUAUUUAACCGGUUUGGGUCUUUCAUUUGGGCUUUCGGUUUUAGUUCAUCUUCUUAUUUUAAUUCAUUUUCGUUUGGGCCUUAAUGAAUUUCGUUUUGGGGGUCUUUCAAUCCUAUUUGAUUCUUCAUAUCAUGGACCAUUUAUUUUUUUCUAUUAAACACCUUGUUUAAUAAAAAACUAGGGGGCAAUGUUGGGUCAUGAUAUUUCACCUACUGGGCCGAAUGGAUUGGGCCUACGUAUUUGGUUAUUCUCUUGGGUCAUUAUUAUUGGGCCUUGUUAUUAGACUAAUUCAUUGGAUUAUCUUGAUUGGGUCUUACAAAGUCUUGGGCCGAAUUAUUGAACCGACCCAUUAGAUAAUUUAAAUAUCUACAUCUUUGAGUUGCAAUGAUGGAAAAAGAUAACGGUUGGCCGAGAUCUCUGCCAUCCAUUAAUGUGGAUGGGAUUAUAGUCGGCCGACGGUGGUGAACAGUGAUAGUAUGUAGUGGGUGAGCUGCAUGCAGUCGGAUGAGACCGUUAGAUUCAGUGGAUAGACGUCAGAUAGCAGUAGAAGGCAUGGUUAACCGGGCAGGAGAGUAUAACAUAGCAAGGAAGUCAUCCAAGUAAAGGUAACUGAUAAUUUUAUCUUUCUCAAUACACUAGAUAUUUUAUCCUCCAUUGUUAGCCUUGUGAUCGCCUAUACUGACUCUUACGCCUGAGCUAUCCCCCGACGGUCGAAGCCGUCAAGAUUUUGGUGUUGAUCGUGUUUAUUGUGCAGGAUCAGGACGUCUUACGUUAUUGGGACAUAGCAGAAGAUCUUGGUAUUAACACUAAGUAUGUUUCGUACAUACGUUAAAACUAGUGCUAAGACACUUAUUCUCUUCUAUGAUAAUCAUGUGUUAGGUAUUUUUCUUUUCAUUGACGUUGAUGAAUUUCUGGUUUUGGAUUAAUUAAUUCUCAGGUUUAAUUGAUGCAUAAGUUUGAAAAAAGGUUAAUUUUGUCUAACAAAAACUUAAAAACAUCACAAGUAAUUAAAUUUUAGAGAGAGUGUGUGUAUAAAAGUUUUAGAGAGAGAAGUUAAAAGGAAGAUAUAAAAAAUAAAUUUAAAGUAAUUUAUUUAAUUGGACCAUAAUAAAUUAAUAAUGGUAAGCUUGAAAUUUGAAAUACGUGUUUACCUAUAUUUGACCCAUAACUAUAUAGUUUCAACCCACAUAAUUCAUAAUUAUAUAAUUCCAACCCACAUAAUCCAUAAUUAUAUAAUUUCAACCCACAUAAUUCAUAUUAAAAAUAAGUAAUAUGGUUUUAAUUCUUAAAUAGAAUCAUAACUAAAUUAUAUAAACCAAAAUUAACCCAUUACCAUACCUACGUAUAUAGAAAAUAAUAAUAUUGUGUAACUUAUUUGGAAUUCAUAAUGAGCUACCGCAACAGAAUUGAUCUUUCUGAAUGACCAAAUUACUACUCCCUUAAUGCCUUAAAUGUUGGCUUGAUGAGAAACCUUCAAUAGCCUUCCUAGUAUUAUGAAAAUUGGUAUGUGUAUAGAAUCAAGGGGGAUGACAUAGUUCUUUAUUUAUAAUAAUUCUGAUUAGCAAUCCUAGUGAAACUACUUAUCACAAUCUCAAAAUGUUAUUUAAAUAACUCAUACUGGUCAAUCUAUAACGCUCCCAAAAUAAGUAUACAUCAUCUAUUUUGAGUCGUCAAAUACAUGGUACAAAAUACAAAUACAAACUUAAUUAUAGAACAUGAGCUGAGAGUUUUUACACGAAUAUUGUCUUCUAGACAAUAUCUAAACUCAAAUGGAGUCCUCAUUAUAAUUAUUAUCACAUUAUUUCAUAGAAUAGUGAGUACUACUACAACACCAUCUCAAAUCAUUACUCCGUUCCCCGACAAGUCCCGGCUACGUUUUCAUUUCCUGAAGAGAACAAUGAAAGCAAAAGGGUGAGCUCAACUAGCCAGUAAGAAAUAUUAUGACUAAGUUAAUACAGAAUAAAUUAUCGUUAGCCUUCAACAGUGUUAAGCUGAUAAAAUACAAUAAACAUCAAGUUUAACUGCAGCGGAACAAGCAAUCCAUUAGAAGAGUAAAGUAGAGCAUGAUAUCUACUAUCUUCUAUGAUUUAAAAAGGUUAUCAUCAAUUUUAUCGUUGAGACUCAGCUUAAUAAAUAAUCCACAUCACUAAAUUAUCCAUGCACUACGGGCCAAUGAGGACUUUUACCACAUUAUAUGUAACAUUACGGUCAUGAUUAUACUGAAUAAUCCCUGGUCAUAAUCAUACUAAUCAACAGUACAUCUAUGCACUACGACCAAAGAUGACUUUCAUCACAAUAUAAGCAUGAGGAUGAUGACAAUGAUACAAGAAUUCAAUUAAAUAAAAGCAAAGAUAAAUUUUAAAGAUUUAUAAUUUAAUUUAUCCAGAAUUCAAUAGCGCCCAAAUUGUCAACAUGAUACUGCUUUGUGGAGUAAAUUAUUAUAUCAAAAAUAAUUUGGACAGAGAAGAAAUUAAUUUUUGUCAUGAAUAGUACCUGAGUGAAUAGUACCCCAUGAAUAGUACUUUAUAAAUAGUACUUCGGAAAUAGUACUUUAUGAAUAGUACCCCGUGAAUAGUAUUUUGUGAAUAGUACCUCGUGAAUAGUACUUUGUGAAUAGUGCCCUAUGAAUAGUACUUUGUGAAUAGUACCCCGUGAACAAUACUCCAACAUGAAAAGAUUAAAAAUUAUCAAAAAUGUUCAGAAAAAUAUCCUUCUGAAAUGAUACUAGAUGAAGCGCAAAUUUCAAGGAUAUUCUACUAAUUUCACGGAAUAUAGAAUCAAUACUUUAACAAAAUGAGUGUAGAAGUAGGUGUAAGACCCCAAAUUUUAUAAAUAAAAUUGAAUUUCCUCUAUUUAUUAUUUUGAAAUAAUAAGGUGUUAAUUUGAUAUAAUACUUUGGUUAUGGGUGAAAUGAACAAAUUUUGCAAAAUAAGCAAGUAGUUAUAAAAUAUUCAUUGUUGUCGGGGAAUAUUCGUUUGGUCGUGAAAUAUUCUUGUUGUCACGAAAUAUUCGUACGACGGCGCAGCCAUUUGUGGGCCCUAUAACGUAAAACGUUCAGAUGAAGACAAAUGAAUAUUUGGUUCAAGAUGUAUAUUGAUUGAUGUUUCAGGGAUAAAAUAUUGAUGAUGGACUUUAAAAUCAUAGAAGACAUUAGAUUUUAUUCUCUACUAAACUCUUCUAAUGAAUUGUUAUUUUCGCUGUGAAUAUUGAUCUAAAACUUGUUGUCCAUUAUAUUUUAUCUGAUUUGUUGAAGGCUAACGAUAAUUGUUGUUCAUUAUCUUAGUCAUAAUAUUCUUUACUGGGCUAGUUGAGCUCACCCUUUUCCUUUUUGUUCCAUUUUUUUCUCAGGAGGCGAGAAUAUAACGGGAACUAGUCGGGGUAUGGAAUGAUGGUUCUAGACAGUUAUUUUAGCAGUUCUCACUAUUUUUGUAAAAUAGUGUAUCAAUAAUUAUAAUGAGGACUUAUUUGAGUGUGGAUAUUGUCUAGAAGACAAUAUUUGUAUUUAAACUCACAGUAUAUGUGUUAUCAUAUUUUGCACGACAAUUGUAAUAAUAAAGUUGUAGUUGUUUUCUGUACCAUGUUUUUGGCGACCAAAGAUGGGUGAUGUAUACCUAUUUUGGGGGCGUCACAGUUGGUAUUAGAGCUUAGGGAUAUGGUCUCUGGCGGAGAUAGAACUAGGAGGGGAGAGACGAGUAAAUCCUUCGCUAGUGUGUCCUACCUAAGCUUAUUUGUUGGUUGGUCAGAAUAUAGGGGUAUUAUGUGGUAUGUUAUUUUCUUUAAUUAACCCUUGUUUUGUGGCAAUAUUUGAGAAUGGUAGCUGGAAAUGUUAACAACGGAGUAAAUGAGACCGUGGAGACACCUUUAAUCACCAACCAGGAGAACGUGCAACAGGACGACAAUGUUCCUCUUGUAAACAACACCACCGAUCAAAUGAUGAAUGAUGGAUGUUUAGAAGCUUUUUUGCAGUUCAUGCAAAAUCAGACGAGGGAGACUCGUGAACAAAAUACGGGUGAAAAUGAUAGCAACGCGCGGCUUGUCACAGCCAAGUAGUUCAAAGAGUUGGGACCACAAGAGUUUUUGGGAAAGCCAAAUCCGAUUAAGGCAAAAACGUGGGUUAAGAAAAUUUCAAGAUAUUUGAUGUCUUGGGAUUCAUAGAGGAAUAGAAGGUUCUAUUCUCCACCUUUAUGUUCCGUGGUUAGGCAGAUUACUGGUGGGAAUCUGUGAAGCAUACCCAGCCAGCCGCACUCAAUAUAUCUUGGGAAAUAUUUUAGAAACUGUUUAAUGACAAGUACUUUCCUGAAAGUAUUCGUCAUAUGAAGGAGGUAGAGUUUAUUAGACUGGAACAGAACAACAUGACUGUGUCCCAGUACGAGGCUAAUUUUGCGGAGUUAUCCAGGAUUGCACCUCAUUUGGUAGAGAAUGAGGAACGUAUGACGCGGAUGUUUUUAAGAGGGUUGAAACCCAAAAUUUAUCAGUACCUUAUUUCUCACAAAUUUUCUCUAUAUUCAGAUGUUGUUAACAAGGCUCAAUUAUUAGAGUGAGAUAAUGAGUAUGUUCAACCGAGGGCAGCAGUCAUCAGAGCAAUGAUAACCAGCGGGAAGGAAAAAAUACGGACAAAAGCGAUAACCACUCUGGUGGUAAUCAUGGCCAUGAUAGUAGAAGAAGCGAGUCGAGGGGAGAUUUCAAAAAGAGAAGGUACAACAAUGACAAUGUGAAGACGUCAGCAUCAACAUCAACUGUUUCUAGGGGAGGAGAACGACCACCGGUCGUAUGUUAUAAAUGCUGGAAAGAGGGACACAUCAGCCCAAACUGCCCACAACAAUUCAAGGUAUGUUAUAACUGUGGAAAGGAAGGUCAUAUAGCUCGAGAUUGUUCUAUAGAAAAACCAAGUCCAGCGAGGAUGGUGAUUCCAAAGGCUGUCCCGGACAAGUAAAAGUCAACGGUUCCUGAAAGAACGUUUGUCGUGACUGGCCAAAACGCGAGGAGCCCAAACGAGGUGAUCACGGGUAAGCUAAUUAUAAACUCUUGCGAAGUUAAUACCUUAUUAGAUACCAUUUCUACCCAUUCUUUUAUCUCUCUUUCUUGUGCUCAACGUUUGAACUUAACUCCGGAGAAAUUAGACUUUGACUUAUCUAUUGAGACUCCGUUAGGAGAAACUUUCAUUACACUCACUGUUUAUAAAUCUUUCUUGAUCCAAGUUAGCAUAAUCACAUUACCUGUUGAUCUUAUCUCUUUAAAGAUACUUGCAUUUGAUGUGAUUUUAGGAUUGAUUGGUUAAGAUCUCAUCAUGCUAAAAUUGAUUAUUUUCGUAAGGUUGUUAGUUUUCAUAUUCCUAACCAACCUGUUAUGCCAAUUCAAGCGACCAAACUGCUAAAUUUAAUCACUGUCAUAUCAAGCCAUAAAUCCAUUCGUUUAUUAAAAAAUGGAUGUCAAGCUUUCUUAGCCCAUGUCAUGGACUUGAACAAAAACACGUCAGAUUUGAAUAAUAUUUCUGUUGUUAGUGAAUUUCUUGACGUAUUUCCUGAAGAACUUCCUGGUCUACCCCCAGAACGUGAAGUUGAAUUCUUUAUUGACCUUGAACCUGGUACAAAACCCAUUUCUAAAACCCCAUAUAGAAUGGCUCCUAUUGAAUUUCAGGAGUUAAAGGUCUAACUACAGGAGUUGUUAGACAUCGGUUUCAUUCGUCCUAAUACAUCUCCUUGGGGUGCUUCUGUUUUAUUCAUAAAGAAGAAAGACGAGAGUAUGCGACUUUGUAUUGAUUACCGGGAAUUGAACCAUGUCACCAUCAAUAAUAGGUAUCCGCUAUCUCGCAUUGAUGACCUAUUCGACCAGUUGCAAGGAGCACAAUUCUUUUCAAAGAUCGAUCUUCGUUCUGGAUAUCAUCAGCUGAAGAUUAAAACUGAGGAUAUUCCGAAGACUGCCUUCAGAACUCGGUACGGGCAUUAUAAAUUCUUAGUCAUGUCUUUUGGAUUAACUAAUGCUUCUGCUGCUUUCAUGGAUAUGAUGAACCGUGUGUUCAAGGAAUAUUUGGAUUAGUUCGUUGUUAUCUUUAUUGAUGAUAUCCUCAUCUAUUCCAAAAGCCGUAAAGAUCAUGAGCACCAUUUGAAGCUGGUACUUCAAAGGUUUUGUGAAAAUAAGCUAUAUGCCAAGCUGAAGAAAUGCAACUUUUGGUUUGAGGAAGUAGCAUUCCUUGGGCAUGUGGUGUCAAAACAUGGAGUAUCUGUUGACCCGACGAAGAUUGAAGCAAUACAAAGUUGGGAACAACCGAAGUCGGUGACCGAAGUACGUAGCUUUCUGGGCUUAGCCGGUUAUUAUCUUAGAUUUAUGGAAGGAUUUUCUCGAAUUGCUACUCCGUUAACUCAGCUGACUCAGAAAGAUACAAAAUUCGUAUGGAGUGAGGAAUGCGAGAAGAGUUUCCAAGAGCUCAAGAGGAGACUCAUUUCGGCACUUGUUCUAUAAAUACCAUCUAGUUCGGAUGGAUUUGUUAUCUACAGUGAUGCUUCAGGCAAAGGGUUAGGAUGUAUUCUCAUGCAACAUGGGAAAGUUACAGCCUAUGCCUCGCAACAACUCAAAGAAUAUGAGAGGAAUUAUCCUACUCAUGAUCUGGAGUUGGCAGCAAUCGUUUUCUAGUUGAAAAUUUGGAGACACUACUUGUAUGGGGAGAAAGUGGAGAUUUAUACGGAUCAUAAAAACCUCAAAUAUUUUUUCACCCAAAAGGAACUCAACAUGCGACAACGACGUUGGCUCGAGCUAUUGAAAGAUUAUGACCAUACCAUUCAAUAUCAUCCUGGAAAAGUAAACGUGGUAGCUGACGUAUUGAGUAAAAGAUCGUUUACGGGUACGAGUGCGAUGUUUUUAACACAAAGACCCAUUUUGUAAGACUUACAAAGGAUGGGGAUAGAGUUAAAGGCUCCAAGUGCCCAUAUGAUGAUAUCAAACAUAUGAGUAGAACUGACUUUAAUCGAUAAAGUUAAAGCUGCUUAAGCCACAGACCCAGAGUUGAUGCUUAUGAAGAAGAAAGUACAAGAAGGUGUUAUUCUAGAAGCAAUAAUCGAUGAAGAAAGAAUACUUUGAGUCAACUCCAGACUUUUCAUUCUUAACGAUUCUGACUUAAAGCAUAGAAUCAUGAUGGAGGCACACAACACACCAUUUUCAAUCCAUCGUGGGAGUACCAAAAUGUAUCAUGAUCUUCGAUAUACAUUUUGGUGGAACAAUAUGAAGAGAGAUAUCGCGGAGUUUAUCUCGAGGUGUUUAACUUGUCAACAUGUAAAGGCGGAGCAUCAAGUGUCAAAGGGUCCAUUGCAACCACUUGAGAUUCUGAAAUAGAAGUGGGAACACAUUACCAUGGAUUUCGUAAUGGAUCUUCCCAAGGUUUCUCAAGGCAUAAAUGUGAUUUGGGUUAUUGUUGAUAGAUUAACCAAGUCUGCUCAUUUCUUGCCGAUACGGGAGACUUAUUCCCUUGAACGUCUUGCUCGUAUGUACGAGAAUGAGAUUGUGAGAUUGCAUGGCAUGACAGUAUCCAUAGUUUCGGAUCGUGACCCAAGAUUCACUUCAAGAUUUUGGGUUAGCUUGUAGAAAGCUAUGGGCACGGAUUUACGAUUCAGUUUGGCAUACCAUCCUCAAACGGACGGGCAAUCGGAAAGGACUAUUCAAACUCUUGAAGAUCUAUUAAGACUCUGUGUCCUAGAUUUAAAAGGAAGUUGGGAUAAAUACUUGUCAUUAGUGGAAUUCUCCUACAACAACAGUUAUCAAACAAGUAUAGACAUGGCUCCAUUUGAGGUGUUGUACGGACGAAAGUGUCGUUCUCCAGUAUGCUAGGACGAGGUGGGUGAAGCAAGGUUGUUGGGACCAGAAUUGGUACGCAUGACUACAGAAAAGAUCCAAACGAUUCGACAACGUAUACAAAUGACACAGGAUCGACAAAAGAGUUAUGCGGAUCUUCAUCGAAAGGACGUUGAAUUUAAUAUUAGGGAUCAUGUAUUGUUAUGUAUUGCUCCAUGGAAGGAAGUUACAAGAUUUGGGAAGAGAAGAAAGCUCAAUCCAUGAUUUGUUGGUCCAUUUGAGAUUCUUGACCGAAUAAGAAAUGUGGCCUAUAGACUCGUAUUACCUCCAAGCAUGUCUCGUGUUUAUAAUGUUUUUCACAUAUCUAUGCUUCAUAAAUAUGUGAAAGACCCAAACCACAUUAUUGAGUUAGAACCAGACGAGAUAGCCGAAGAUUUAACGUACGAGGAGGUACCUGUCAAGAUCUUAGAUAGGAAAGAGCAUGUCUUACGCACAAAGAUUAUACCAAAAGUCAAAGUUUUAUGGAGGAACCAUGCUAUUGAGGAAAUGACUUGGGAGUUGGAAUCAGAAAUGAAAGUGAGGUAACCUCACCUUUUCGAAACACCAGGUACAUACGUCAAUUUCGAGGACAAAAUUUUAUAAUGAGGGGAGGUUGUAAGACCCCAACUUUUAUAAAUAAAAUUGAAUUUUCUCUUUUCAUUAUUUUGAAAUAAUAAGGUGUUAAUUUGAUAUAAUUCUUUGGUUAUGAGUAAAAUGUGCAAAUUUUGUAAAAUAAGCAAGUGGUUAUAAAAUAUUCAUUGUUGUCGGGGAAUAUUCGUUUGGUUGUAGAAUAUUCUUGUUGUCGGGGAAUAUUCGUACGACGAUGAAUCCAUUUGUGGGCCCCAUAAUGGAAAACAGUCGGAUGAAGAAAACAACAAAUUUGAGUUUUUAUAAAUAAUGGCGUAGUUGUUACCAUUAACACUGUUGGAAUACCUGAUGGUUAAAGUACAGUAAUACGCGUGGUUGCACAGUAGCACACGGUAUUGCACAGUAUUUUUGGAUUAUUGAUUCUUACAUAAGAAGGCACUACUCAAUAAUUUUUACAGUAAUUACUGUUCAAUAUUUUAUUUUAUUGAUUCAUUAAUUAUUAAGUUGAUAUUUUAUAUUAUUGUUAAUUCAAUAAUUGUCACUGCAUAGUAUUUCCCAUUAUCAUAUCAAUAAUUUAUAUUAUUUGAAUAAUAUUAUUAGAUUUUAUUAUUGGCAAUGUCUAAGAAGUUCUAUCUAGGAAAGGGGUUUGGUCACCUAAUUGCGCGCCAGUAAGGAGAAAUCCUUAUCGGAAAGCCCCCUUCUUUCCUGGGAACGACCUGAUUGUCAUAAUUGUGAUUCUGUAAUAUUAUUUGUGAAUAAUUAAUUAUUGAUUUAUAUGAUAAGAAAAUAUUUAUUUUAUGUGGAUAUAAAUGAAGGAAUUAAUGCUGAGGUGUUUUAUCAGUAUUUUGUCAGAAUGAAGGUAUUAAAAAUCGUCCGUAUGUAAAUUUUGGUCAUUUUCUGCUUGGAAUUUGGAAAAAUUUUAUCCUACAAAGUUGUAGAGAAUUACAUUUCCUAUGGAAUGGACAUAAAAUUCGUAUUUUUCUAUGAAAAGGGCAAUUUAUUAUGAAUUAUUGAAGUUUUGGAAAUAAAUGUUUUUUAAUUAAAAAUAUGGGUGGGCCCUACUUUUGGUUGGUAUGAAAAUUCUGAAUUUGGUGGGCCCCACUGUGGUGUGCUGAUAUUUGAUCAAUUGUGGCGUGCGUGAAAAUUUUUGAUAAAAUAUUAUUUUAUUAAUUUAGUCUGCUUUGGCAUUCUAGCAUUUUCCUAUAACUAGGAUUCUUAGUUAGAAUUGAAAAUCACACCAGAAUCAGAAGUUUUCUUUCUCUAUAAUAUCGAGAGUAUUUUUGUGAGUAUUUAGAUACUUUGAGAGUUGCUAUUCAGUGCAAGUUCCUUCAGCAUUAUAUCUGAUAUUUCAGCUAGAAGUGCUAUUCUUUUGAGGUAAGGGAUAUUAUUUUCUUCGUAAAUGAUGUUAUUUCUUUCAAUAUCAUUAUACUGAAAUAUUAGUAUGAAUUUUAUUAUGAAAUUUUUACCUUUUCAUGUUGAGGUUACUAUUCACGAAUACGACACUAUUCACGUAUACGACAUUAUUUACAAAUACGAUACUAUUCACCAAAAAAUGAAAUUUUUUCUUCUUUGUCCCAGAUGGCUAUUAUGGUUACUAUCUUUGAUUGUAUCCAUGUUUUGAUCUUUAUUAUUGAAUUUUUCUCCACUAUGGUUUAUUAUGGAGUAUUUUUGAAUUUGGAUUAUCUAAAGUACGAAUCCCUAAUCUUUGUCCGUUAUUCUCAAUGGAUUCGUUCUUUAAAAUAUUUUUCAUCAUCCUCAGUCUUUAAUGGUGAUACUUGAUGAAUAUCUUUGGCCUGUAGUACAAAGAUGAAUGAUUACCUAAUGAAUAUAUUUGACCCAUAGUGCAAAGAUGGACAGGUGUUGAGAUGAACAUGACCAACUGUUGAUACAAAUGAAUAUCUUUGGCCCGUAAAACAAAGAUGAAUAUUUGGUUCAAGAUGUAUAUUGAUUGAUGUUACAGGGAUAAAAUAUUGAUGAUAAACUUUUAAAUCAUAGAAGACAUUAGAUUUUAUUCUCUACUAAACUCUUCUAAUGAAUUGUUAUUUCCGCUGCGAAUAUUGAUCUAAAACUUAUUGUCCAUUAUAUUUUAUCUGAUUUAUUGAAGGCUAACAAUAAUUUAUUGUUCAUUAUCUUAGUCAUAAUAUUCUUUACCGGGCUAGUUGAGCUCACUAUUUUCCUUUUUGUUUCAUUUUUCUUCUCAGGAGGCGAGAAUAUAGCGGGAACUAGUCGGGGUAUAGAAUGAUGGUUCUAGACAGUUGUUUUAGCAUUCCUCACUAUUUUUGUAAAAUAGUGAAUCAAUAAUUAUAAUGAGGACUUAUUUGAGUGUGGAUAUUAUCUAGAAGACAAUAUUUUUAUUUAAACUCACAGUAUAUAUGUUAUCGUAUUUUGCACGACAAUUGUAAUAAUAAAGUUGUAGUUAUUUUCUAUACCAUAUUUUUGACGAUCCAAGAUGGGUGAUGUAUACCUAUUUUGGGGGCGUCACAGUAGGAAUACAAACCAAAUAAUAUUACUUACAUACUACAGAGUAUGGAAAAAAUAUUAUUUCAUACGAGUAUUGAACAAAAAUAUUAUCCCUUACCUUAGAAGAAGACUGUAUACUAGAAUAAUGAAGUAGCAGAAUACUCUUCUUCUUUCUCUCUAUAGUUUCUCUCUUUAUAAUUUCUCUUGUGAGUCUUAAUGAAUUGGUGAGAAUGAAAGAAGAAUGAGCUUCUAUUUAUAGGAAAACAUAGUUUCGAUAAUUGCACGUUUUGGGGCUCGAAUUAUUAUAGUAUAUUAUUACCUUCAUCUUUUCCUCCAUUUUAAAUUUAGUCCUACAAGUAUUAUCAAACUUGCACCACCUCCCCUAAUAGUACAUGAAUGUGAAUCAAUACUUCCAUUCAUGUGAAUAAAUAGUUAUAUGCAUGUAAACUAAUAGCAAUUAAUUGCUCAUUUAUCCGAUUAAUUACCCGAUUGGUCAAUUUAACCUCCAGAAAUCAAUUAUUAUCGAAAUAAAUGUUGAUUUCCACUAACACUAAUAAUCCCAACACAAUGGAAAUAUCAAUUUUAUCUUUAAUCAACGCAAACUUAUUCAUCUUUAAUAUUAUAACUCAUAGUAUCUAACAACCAGAUCAUUCCCAGGAAAGAGGGGGCUUUCCGAUAAAGAUUUCUCCCUAUUGGCGCACAAUUAGGUGACAAAACCCUUUUCCUCGACAGAACUUUCUAGACAUCGUCAAUAAUGCAAAUAAUAAUAUGAAUAACUUUUAUAUCUCAAUUAUUGAUUUAAUAAUAUAAAAUAUUAUGCAGAUGAUACUGUGACAAUAAUUGAAUCAAUAAUAUGAGAGAUAUUAUGCAGUAAUUAUUGUAGCAAUAAUUGAGUAUAACUGAGUGACUUCUCACGUAAGCAUUAAUAAUCAAAGAUAUUGUACAAUACCGUAUGCUACUAUGCAACCACGCGUAUUACUGUAAUUUUACCACCAGGUAUUUCAACAGUUAACGGUAAAAUUUUCGUCGUUAAUUUUAUAAAAAUAUAUUUCUGUCAUUUUCUAACUCCGACAAUACAUCCAUUAUAAGACCACAACUUUUAUAAAUAAAAUUGAAUUUCCUCUAUUCAUUAUUUUAAAAAAAUAAGAUGUUAAUUUGAUAUAAUGCUUUGGUUAUGGGUGAAAUGUGCAAAAAUUUCAAAAUAAGCAAGUGGUUAUAAAAUAUUCAUUGUUGUCGGGGAAUAUUCGUUUGGUCAUGGAAUAUUCUUGUUGUCGGGGAAUAUUCGUUUGGUCAUGGAAUAUUCUUGUUGUCGGGGAAUAUUCGUACAACGGCGCAGCCAUUUGUGGGCCCCAUAACACAAAAACGGUCGGAUGAAGAAAAUGACAAGUUUGAGUUUUUAUAAAUUACGGGGUAGUUGUUACCGUUAACACUGUUGGAAUACCUGAUGGUUAAAGUACAGUAAUACGCGUGGUUGCACAGUAGCACAUGGUAUUGCACAGUAUUUUUGGAUUAUUGAUUCUUACGUAAGAAGGCACUACUCAAUAAUUGUUACAUUAAUCAUUGUUCAAUAUUUUAUUUUAUUGAUUCAAUAAUUGCUGCGUUGAUAUUUUAUAUUAUUGUUGUUUCAAUAAUUACCACUGCACAAUAUUUCCCAUUAUCAGAUCAAUAAUUCAUAUUAUUUGAAUAAUAUUAUUAGAUAACCUUAUUGGCAAUGUCUAAGGAAGUUCUGUCUAGAAAAGGGAUUUGGUCACCUAAUUGCGCGCCAGUAAGGAGAAAUCCUUAUCGGAAACCCCCUCUUUUCUGGAAACGACCUGGUUGUCAUUAUUGUGAUUCUGUAAUAUUAUUUGUGAAUAAUUAAUUAUUGAUUUAUAUGAUAAGGAAAUAUUUAUUUUAUGUGGUUAUAAAUGAAGGAAUUAAUGUUGAGGUAUUUUAUCAGUAUUUUGUCAGAAUGGAGGUAUUAACAAUCAUCUGUAUGUGGAUUUCAGUCAUUUUCUGUUUAGAAUUUGAAAAAACUUUCUUCUACAAAGUUGUAGAGAAUUAAAUUUCUUAUGGAAUGGACAUAAAAUUUAUAUUUUUCUGAUAAAGGGCUAUUUAUUAUGAAUUAAGUGGAAUGAAGAUAUCAAAUUGAUUUAGUUUUCGAAUUAAAUUUGAAUUCUUUUAUUUUUUUUUUCAAAAAACAUAUGUUAAUGGUGGGUGAGCAAAGGUUGGCUUUAAAAAGUCUUGUUUCAAAGUAGGUGGGCUACAAAUAAUGUGCGUAUGUAAAUUUUAUCAGUAAUGGUGGGCUGACAUUUCCCUAUAAAUAGGGUGCUUAGUUAGAAAUGAAAUCACACCAUAAUCAGAAGUUUUAUCUCUAUAAUAUCAAACGUAUUUUUGUGAUUAUUUAGAUAAUUUGAGAGUUGCUAUUCAGUGCAAGUUUUUUUCAACAUUAUAUCUGAUAUUCCAAUCAGAAGUACUGUUCUUUUGAGGUAAGGGAUUUUUUUUUUUUUUCAUAAAUGAUAUUAUUUCUUUCAAUAUCAUUAUACCAAAAUAUUGGUAUGAAUUCUUGUGGAAAUUUUACCUUUUCAUGUCUAGGCUACUAUUCACGUAUACGACACUAUUUACGUAUACGACACUAUUCACGAAUACGGUACUAUUCACAAGUACUAUUCACGAAGUAUGAUUUUUCUUGUGAAAUUUCUACCUUUUGGUGUCAGGGUUACUAUUCACGUACAACACUAUUCACGUAUACGACACUAUUCACGAAUAUGGCACUAUUUACUGAAAAAAUUAAAAUUUUUUUCUUUGUCCAAGUUGUCUAUUAUGGUUACUAUCUUUGAUUGUAUCCAUGUUUUGAUCUUCAUUCUUGAAUUUUGCUCCACAAUUAAUUAUUAUGGAGUAUUUUUGAACUUGGAUAAAGUAAAGUACGAAUCCCUAAUAUUUGAUCUUUUAUCUCACUGGAUUCGUUUUCUUUAAGAUAUUUUUCAUCAUCCUCAGUCCUAAAUGGUGAUAUAACUGAAUAUCUUUGGCCUGUAGUGCAUAGAUGAAUGAUUACCUGAUGAAUAUUUUUGGCGCGUAUUGCAAAGAUGGACAGGUGUUGAGAUGAACAUGACCAACUGAUGAAUAUCUUUGGCCUGUAGUGCAAAGAUGAAUAUUUGAUUCAAGAUGUAUAUUGUGACGCCCCCAAAAUAGGUAUACAUCACCUAUCUUGAGUCGCCAGAUACAUGGUACAUAAAUCAAAUACAAACUUAAUUAUACAACAGUCGUGUAAAAUACGACAAAACAUAGCUGAGAGUUUAAACAAGAAUAUUGUCAUCUAGAUAAUAUCCAUACUCAAUGGUGUCCUCAUUGCAAUUAUUAUCACAUUAUUCUGUAGAAUAGUGAAGACUACUAAAGCCAUUUAUCCUGGACCAUCACUCCAUUCCCCGACUCGUCCCAGCUAUAUUCUCAUUUCCUGAAGAGAACAAUGAAAGAAAGGGUGAGCUCAACUAGCCCAGUAAGAAAUAUUAUGACUAAGAUAAUGCAGAAUAAAUUAUCCUUAGCCUUCAACAGUAUAACAACUGAUAGAAUACAAUAGACAACAAGUUUUAGAUCAACAACUGCAGCGGAAAUAAGCAAUCCAUUAGAAGAGUCAAGUAGAGCAUAAAAUCUACUAUCUUCUAUGAUUUAAAAAGUUUUUCAUCAACUUUAUCGCUGAGACUCAGCUUAAUAAAUAAAAUCGAAUCAUCCCUGCACCACGGCCAAGGAUAUUCAUGUAAUCAUCAAUGGUCAUGAUUAUACCGAAUAAUCCCUGGUCAUAAUCAUACCAACAACUGUCCAUCAAUGAACUACAGGCCAAUGAGGACUUUUACCACAUCAUUCGUCACAUUACGGUCAUGAUUAUACCGAAUAAUCCCUGGUCAUAAUCAUACCAAGUCCAUCUAUGCACGUAAGCCAAAGAUGACUUUCAUCACAAUAUAAGCAUGAGGAUGAUGACAAUGACAUAAUAAUUCAAUAAAACAAGUUCAAGGAUAAAUUUUAAAGAUUUAUAAUUUAAUUUAUCCAGAAAUCAAUAACGCCCAAAUUGUCAACAUGAUACUGCUUUGUAGAGUAAAAUUCAAGAAUAAUAUUCAUGUACAAAAAAUAAUUUGGACAGAAAAGAAAUAUAUUUUUCGGGUGAAUAGUAUCCCGUGAAUAAUACUUUGGGAAUAGUACCUCAUGAAUAGUACCUCGACACGAAAAGUGUCCCGAAUACCCGAGUGAAUGAUACUAGAGUGAAUAGUAAUUGGGUUAAUAGUAACCCGCGUGAAUAGUAACUCGUGAAUAGUACUCCGGCACGAAAAGUACCUCGAAUAUCCGAGUGAAUAAUACCAGAGUUAAUAAUAACUGGGUGAAUAGUAACCCGUGAAUAGUAACUCAUAAAAAAAAUACCAAAGAAAAUGAUAUUCCAUGACGAGUACAAAAGAAAUGAUAUCUCAGACGAGUAUAAUAGAAUAUACGAAACUGCAAAUGGAUUUUCACCCGCCAUGCGGUAAUCCACGUAGACAGAUCAUUUCCACAAUUUAAUAAAGAAUGAAUACAAAGGAUCAUUCACUAUGCAUGCGGUAAUCCACAUAGAUAGAUUAUUCCAACAGAAUAAUAAAGAAUGGAAUAACAAAAGAAUUCACCAGGCAUGCGAUAGACCACACAGAUAGGUUAUUCCCAACAGAAUAAUAAAGAAUGGAACCAGGUCAUGCGUAAUCCGCACAGACAGGAUAUUCCAACAGAAUAAUAAAAAAUAGAAUAACAAUAGAAUUCACCAGGCAUGCGAUAGACCGCACAGACAGGUUAUUCCAACAGAAUAAUAAAGAAUAGAAUAACAGAAGAAUUACACCAUGUAUGUGGUACUUCGUAUAGACAGAUUAUUCCAACAACAUAAUAAAGAAUGGAAUAACAACCCUUAUGAGUAUUGGAAGAAAAUAACUCUCUUCAUGAAUACGAAAGAAUAAUACCCCUUACCUCAAAAGAAGACUGGAUACUGGAAUAGUGAGGUAGCAGACUUCUCUUCUUCUUUCUCUCUAUAAUUUCUCUCUAUAAUAAUUGCUCUAUAACUUUAGUGAAUUUGUUAGAAAUAAUGAAGGAAUGAGCUUCUAUUUAUAGGAAAAUAUAGUUUCGAUAAUUGCAUAUUUUGGGGCUCGAAAUAUUACAGUAUAAUACCUUCCUCUUUUUCUUCAUUUUUAAUUUAGUCCUGCAAGUAUUAUCAAACAUGCACCACCUCUCCUAAUAGUAAAUCAUGUGAAUCAAUAGUAAAGGAUGUGACUCAAUAGUUCUAUACAUGUGAAAAAAUGAAUUACAGUAUAAUACCUCCAUCUAUACCUCCAUUUUUAACUUAGUCAUGCAAGUAUUAUCAAUCUUGCAUCAACUCCCCUAAUAGUAAAUGGAUUUGAAUAAAUAGUACACACAUGUGAAUAAAUAGUUAUAAUCAUGUUAAUCAAUAGCAAUUAAUUGCUCAUUUAUCUGGUUAAUUACCCGAUUGGUCAAUAUAACCUCCAGACAUCAAUUAUUAUCGAAAUAAAUGUCGAUUUUCACUAACACUAAUAAUUCCAACACAAUGGAACUAUCAAUUUUAUCUUUAAUCAACACGAACUUAUUCAUCAUUAAUAUUAUAAUUCACAAUAUUUAACAACCAGGUCGUUCUUAGGAAAGAGGGGACUUUCCAAUAAGGAUUUCUCCUUAUUGGCGCGCAAUUAGGUGACCAAACCUCUCCUUGACAGAACUUCUAGACAUUGUCAAUAUUGUAAAUAAUAAUAUGAAUAACUUUGUCAUCUCAAUUAUUAAUUUAAUAAUAUAACAUAUUAUACAAAUGAUACAGUGACAAUAAUUGAAUCAUUAAUAUGAGAGAUAUUAUGCAACAAUUACUGUAGCAAUAAUUGAGUAUAACUGAGUGACUUUUCACGUAAGCAUCAAUAAUCCAUACCGUGUGCUACUAUGCAACCACGCGUAUUACUGUACUUUUACUAUCGGGUAGUUCAACAGUUUGACGGUAAAACUUUCAUCGUUAUUUUUAUAAAAAGAUAAUUCUGUCAUUUUCUAACUACGACAAUACUUCCGUUGUGGGGUCCACCAAUGAUUGUGCCGUCGUACGGAUAUUCCCCGACAAAAAGAAUAUUCCCCAACCAAUCGAAUAUUAUAUAACAACUUGCAUACUUUGAAAAAUUUAUAAAUAUUACCAACAACUCUAACAUUAUAUCAAAUCCACACCAUAAUAUUCAAAAAAAUAUUUUGAGAAAUUUAAAUCUUUAUUCAUAAAAUUUGGGGUCUCAUAAUCUCCCCUCCUUAUGAAAUUUCGCCCUCAAAAAUUACGUACGUACCUGGUAUGCCGAUGAGGUGAGGAUACCUUGACUUCAUUUCAUAUUCCAACUCUUGAGGUAUAACCUUUGAGUGUUGAAUAUGAUCCUUCUUAUCCAAGAUUUUAACAAGUAUCUCAUUAUACGUUAAAUCCUCUGCUAUAUCGUCUAGUUUUAAUUUAAUAAUGUUGUUCGGGUCGUCCACAUAUUUACGUAACAUUGAUACGUGAAAAACGUUAUGAACACGCAACAUACUUGACGGUAAAACGAGUCUAUAGGCCACAGUUCCUACUCGAUCGAGGAUUUCAAAUGAGCCAAUAAAAUUGAGGGUUGAUAUUUCCUCUUUUCAUUGACUCUUGCGUCUAGAAUAACGCCUUCUUGAACCUUCUUCUUUAUUUUCAUCAGCUCCAGGUGUGUAGUUUGAGCGGCUUUAACUUUAUCGAUUAAAGUCGAUUCUACUCGUAUAUUCGUUAUCUUCACGUGGGUCCCUAGAGUCUUUAACUCUAUCUUCAUCAUUUGUAAGUUAUACGAAAUGGGUUUUUGUGUUAACAACAUCGCACUCGUAAACGCAUACGAUCUUCUACUCAACGCGUCAGCUACCACGUUCGCUCUUCCACGAUGAUAUUGAAUGGUAUAGUCGUAAUCUUCAACAGCUCGAGCCAACGUCCUUGGCGCAUGAUACGUUUAUUUUAGUUGAAGAAAUAUUUGAGGGUUUUAGAAAUGGGUUUUGUAUUGGGGUCAAUACAAAAUUCGAUUUCACGCUUUGGGGGUAGACCAAGAAGUCUUCAAGAAUACGUCAGGAAAUUUAUUACCUAUAGAAAUAUCAUUCAAAACUGUGACUCUCAUCCAAGACUUGGAUAGCACAUGAAAUGAAAGUUUCUACUAACGAAGUUUCAACCGAUAAGUCAAAGUCUAAUCUCUCAGGAGUUAAAUUUAAACGUUGAGCGCAAGAAAGAGAGAUAAAAUAAUGGGUGGAACCGAUAUCUAAUAAGGUAUAGACUUUGCAAGAAUUUAUAAUUAAAUAACCCAUGCUAACUUCGUUCGGGUUACUCGCUUUUUGAGAAGUCACGAAAAACACUCUUCUUAAAACUACUGACUUUGUUUUGUCCGUAUCCGCCUUUGGUGCCACCGUCCCCAGCUGAACUUGACUUUGGUGCAUGACAAAAUCGGGAUAGGUGACCUUCUUUUCCACAAUUAUAACAUGCUUUGGACUGCAUCACGCAGUUUAGACUGAUAUGUCCCUCCCGUCCGCAUUUAAACCAUACAAUUGGUGGUCGUUCUCCUUCCUUGAAAACCGGUGUUGGUGCUGCUGUCUUUCCAUCAUUGUUGAACCUUCUCUUCUUGAAAUUUCCACUCCUAUUAUCUUGGCCAUGGUUACCACCGAAGUGGUUACCAUUCUUGGCAUGAUAAUUUCCCCCACGAUGGUUAUCAUUGUUCCGAUGGCCGUUGCCACCGGUACGAUUAUUAUCGUGUUAUUGGUCGUUGCCUUUUGGUUGUGCUGACUCAUUAUCGCGCUCCAAUAACUAAACCCUAUUCACAACAUCUGAAUAUAAACAAAUUUUGUGAAAAAUGAGGUAUUGACGUAUAUCGGGUUUCAAACCUCUUAGAAACAUCCGCGUCAUUCUCUCCUCAUUCUCAACCAAGUGGGACGUAAACCAAGAAAACUCGGCAAACUUAGCUUCGUACUGCGCCAUGGUCAUGUUGUUUUUCUCAAGCUUGAUGAACUCUACCUCCUUCAUGUGACGAAUACUUUCAGGAAAGUACUUGUCGUUGAAUAUCUCUUGGAACUUCUCCCAAGACAUCUUGAGUGUGGCAGGUUGAGUACGCUUUACAGAUUCCCACCAAUAAUCUGCCUCUUCACGCAAUAUAAAGGUGGCAAAUGGAACCUUUUGCUCCUCGGAGCAUCCCAAGACAUCAAAUAUCUUGGUGAUCUUCAUUAUCCACGUCUCCGCCUUAAGUGAUUCUGGCUUUCCCAAAAACUCCGGCAGUCCCAGCUCCUUGAACUGCUUAGCAGUGACCAGCCGUGGGUUGCCAUUGUUUCCACCCGCAUUUUGAACAAGAGUCUCUCUCGCCUGAUGUUGCAUGAAUUACAUAAAGCCUCUGAACAUCUCAUCGUUCAUCAUCUGAUCGGUGUUGUUAUUUACCUGAGGAUUAUUGUCUUCUUGUUGCACAUUAUCCUGGGUAUUGAUCGUUGGUGACUCAACGGUCUCAUGUGCUUCAUUGCUUAUCUCAAUAUUUUCAGAUGCCAUUCUCAAACACUAUCAAAAAACAAGGGUUAAUUAACAUGUCACAUAUUAUCCCUAUACUCUGACCGACCAAUUAAAUACCAAAUAAACCUAGGUAGGCCAUACUAGCGAAGGAAUUCCCCGUCUCUCCCCUCCUAGUUCUUAUCUCACAUCUCAGCCAGGGAUCAUAUCCCUAAGCUUUGAUACCAACUGUGACGCCCCCAAAAUAGGUAUACAUCACCCAUCUUGAGUCGCCAGAUACAUGGUACAUAAAUCAAAUACAAACUUAAUUAUACAACAGUCGUGUAAAAUACGACAAAACAUAGCUAUGAGUUUAAACAAGAAUAUUGUCAUCUAGACAAUAUCCAUACUCAAUGGUGUCCUCAUUAUAAUUAUUAUCACAUUAUUUCAUAGAAUAGUGAGGACUACUAAAGCCAUUUAUCCUGGACCAUCACUACAUUCCCUGACUCGUCCCAGCUAUAUUCUAAUUUCCUGAAGAGAACAAUGAAAGAAAGGGUGAGCUCAACUAGCCCAGUAAGAAAUAUUAUGACUAAAAUAAUGCAGAAUAAAUUAUCCUUAGCCUUCGACAGUAUAACAACUGAUAGAAUACAAUAGACAACAAGUUUUAGAUCAACAACUGCAGCGAAAAUAAGCAAUCCAUUAGAAGAGUCAAGUAGAGCAUAAAAUCUACUAUCUUCUAUGAUUUAAAAAGNNNNNNNNNNNNNNNNNNNNNNNNNNNNNNNNNNNNNNNNNNNNNNNNNNNNNNNNNNNNNNNNNNNNNNNNNNNNNNNNNNNNNNNNNNNNNNNNNNNNNNNNNNNNNNNNNNNNNNNNNNNNNNNNNNNNNNNNNNNNNNNNNNNNNNNNNNNNNNNNNNNNNNNNNNNNNNNNNNNNNNNNNNNNNNNNNNNNNNNNNNNNNNNNNNNNNNNNNNNNNNNNNNNNNNNNNNNNNNNNNNNNNNNNNNNNNNNNNNNNNNNNNNNNNNNNNNNNNNNNNNNNNNNNNNNNNNNNNNNNNNNNNNNNNNNNNNNNNNNNNNNNNNNNNNNNNNNNNNNNNNNNNNNNNNNNNNNNNNNNNNNNNNNNNNNNNNNNNNNNNNNNNNNNNNNNNNNNNNNNNNNNNNNNNNNNNNNNNNNNNNNNNNNNNNNNNNNNNNNNNNNNNNNNNNNNNNNNNNNNNNNNNNNNNNNNNNNNNNNNNNNNNNNNNNNNNNNNNNNNNNNNNNNNNNNNNNNNNNNNNNNNNNNNNNNNNNNNNNNNNNNNNNNNNNNNNNNNNNNNNNNNNNNNNNNNNNNNNNNNNNNNNNNNNNNNNNNNNNNNNNNNNNNNNNNNNNNNNNNNNNNNNNNNNNNNNNNNNNNNNNNNNNNNNNNNNNNNNNNNNNNNNNNNNNNNNNNNNNNNNNNNNNNNNNNNNNNNNNNNNNNNNNNNNNNNNNNNNNNNNNNNNNNNNNNNNNNNNNNNNNNNNNNNNNNNNNNNNNNNNNNNNNNNNNNNNNNNNNNNNNNNNNNNNNNNNNNNNNNNNNNNNNNNNNNNNNNNNNNNNNNNNNNNNNNNNNNNNNNNNNNNNNNNNNNNNNNNNNNNNNNNNNNNNNNNNNNNNNNNNNNNNNNNNNNNNNNNNNNNNNNNNNNNNNNNNNNNNNNNNNNNNNNNNNNNNNNNNNNNNNNNNNNNNNNNNNNNNNNNNNNNNNNNNNNNNNNNNNNNNNNNNNNNNNNNNNNNNNNNNNNNNNNNNNNNNNNNNNNNNNNNNNNNNNNNNNNNNNNNNNNNNNNNNNNNNNNNNNNNNNNNNNNNNNNNNNNNNNNNNNNNNNNNNNNNNNNNNNNNNNNNNNNNNNNNNNNNNNNNNNNNNNNNNNNNNNNNNNNNNNNNNNNNNNNNNNNNNNNNNNNNNNNNNNNNNNNNNNNNNNNNNNNNNNNNNNNNNNNNNNNNNNNNNNNNNNNNNNNNNNNNNNNNNNNNNNNNNNNNNNNNNNNNNNNNNNNNNNNNNNNNNNNNNNNNNNNNNNNNNNNNNNNNNNNNNNNNNNNNNNNNNNNNNNNNNNNNNNNNNNNNNNNNNNNNNNNNNNNNNNNNNNNNNNNNNNNNNNNNNNNNNNNNNNNNNNNNNNNNNNNNNNNNNNNNNNNNNNNNNNNNNNNNNNNNNNNNNNNNNNNNNNNNNNNNNNNNNNNNNNNNNNNNNNNNNNNNNNNNNNNNNNNNNNNNNNNNNNNNNNNNNNNNNNNNNNNNNNNNNNNNNNNNNNNNNNNNNNNNNNNNNNNNNNNNNNNNNNNNNNNNNNNNNNNNNNNNNNNNNNNNNNNNNNNNNNNNNNNNNNNNNNNNNNNNNNNNNNNNNNNNNNNNNNNNNNNNNNNNNNNNNNNNNNNNNNNNNNNNNNNNNNNNNNNNNNNNNNNNNNNNNNNNNNNNNNNNNNNNNNNNNNNNNNNNNNNNNNNNNNNNNNNNNNNNNNNNNNNNNNNNNNNNNNNNNNNNNNNNNNNNNNNNNNNNNNNNNNNNNNNNNNNNNNNNNNNNNNNNNNNNNNNNNNNNNNNNNNNNNNNNNNNNNNNNNNNNNNNNNNNNNNNNNNNNNNNNNNNNNNNNNNNNNNNNNNNNNNNNNNNNNNNNNNNNNNNNNNNNNNNNNNNNNNNNNNNNNNNNNNNNNNNNNNNNNNNNNNNNNNNNNNNNNNNNNNNNNNNNNNNNNNNNNNNNNNNNNNNNNNNNNNNNNNNNNNNNNNNNNNNNNNNNNNNNNNNNNNNNNNNNNNNNNNNNNNNNNNNNNNNNNNNNNNNNNNNNNNNNNNNNNNNNNNNNNNNNNNNNNNNNNNNNNNNNNNNNNNNNNNNNNNNNNNNNNNNNNNNNNNNNNNNNNNNNNNNNNNNNNNNNNNNNNNNNNNNNNNNNNNNNNNNNNNNNNNNNNNNNNNNNNNNNNNNNNNNNNNNNNNNNNNNNNNNNNNNNNNNNNNNNNNNNNNNNNNNNNNNNNNNNNNNNNNNNNNNNNNNNNNNNNNNNNNNNNNNNNNNNNNNNNNNNNNNNNNNNNNNNNNNNNNNNNNNNNNNNNNNNNNNNNNNNNNNNNNNNNNNNNNNNNNNNNNNNNNNNNNNNNNNNNNNNNNNNNNNNNNNNNNNNNNNNNNNNNNNNNNNNNNNNNNNNNNNNNNNNNNNNNNNNNNNNNNNNNNNNNNNNNNNNNNNNNNNNNNNNNNNNNNNNNNNNNNNNNNNNNNNNNNNNNNNNNNNNNNNNNNNNNNNNNNNNNNNNNNNNNNNNNNNNNNNNNNNNNNNNNNNNNNNNNNNNNNNNNNNNNNNNNNNNNNNNNNNNNNNNNNNNNNNNNNNNNNNNNNNNNNNNNNNNNNNNNNNNNNNNNNNNNNNNNNNNNNNNNNNNNNNNNNNNNNNNNNNNNNNNNNNNNNNNNNNNNNNNNNNNNNNNNNNNNNNNNNNNNNNNNNNNNNNNNNNNNNNNNNNNNNNNNNNNNNNNNNNNNCGCUGCGAAUAUUGAUCUAAAACUUGUUGUCCAUUAUAUUUUAUCUGAUUUAUUUAAGGCUAACGAUAAUUUGUUGUACAUUAUCUUAGUCAUAAUAUUCUUUACUGGGCUAGUUGAGCUCACCCUUUUCCUUUUUGUUCCAUUUUUCUUCUCAGGAGGCGAGAAUAUAGCGGGAACUAGCCAGGGUGUGGAGUGAUGUUUCGAGACAGUUGUUUUAGCAGUCCUCACUAUUUUGUAAAAUAGUGCAUCAAUAAUUGUAAUGAUUACUUAUUUUUGAGUUUGGAUAUAUUCUAGAAGACAAUAUUUGUAUUUAAACUCACAUCAUAUGUGUUGUCGUAUUUUGCAUGACAAUUGUAAUAAUGAAGUUGUAGUUAUUUUCUGUACCAUAUUUUUGGUGACCCAAGAUGGGUGAUGUAUACCUAUUUUGGGGGCGUCACAUCCGUGGUGGGGUCCACCAAUGAUUGUGCCGUCGUACGAAUAUUUCCUGUUAAAACGAAUAUUCCCCGACCAAUCGAAUAUUUUAUAACAACUUUCUUACUUUGCAAAAUUUAUAAAUAUUACCCAUAACUAUAACAUUAUAUCAAACACCAUAAUAUUCAAAAAUAUAUUUCGAGAAAAAUUAAUCUUUAUUCAUAAAAGUUGGGGUCUUACACAAUCUAUAUUAGACUUAAUUAAAGUCCAUAUAUCACACUUAAUUAGACCAAUUAAUUAGCCUAAUUUAUAUAAAUAUUAUUAAUAUUCUUACAAGUUUAUCUAUGUAUUCAUCUAAAUUUAUUUAUUAUUAAUUAAAUUUAUUAAUAAUGUUUAUUUAUAUCUCUUCUUCUUCGAUAAGGGAUCGACAAGCCAUUACUUCUAUAACUACUCAAAGUCAGGGCGGUAGUUAGCUACCAGCAAUAACUUUAUAGGGUAAAAUGCAAAAUUAACCACUGAAGUUUAGCAAUUUUUGGAUAUUGAGUCCCUUUCUUUUGGUCAACAGAAAUUGAGCUCCUUUCUAUUCAAAAAUUUGAAAUUUGAGCCAUCAGGCGCCACGUGAGCGUUGACCUGCUGACAUGAGAAUUUUUCAAUUUUAUCCCAAAAAUAUGUCGCUCCACUAAUUCGAACUCAAAACACCCAGUUUGGAACUUUGAUCAUAUGACCACUGAAGUACCACGAGCUUAACUGUUAAUAUUUCGCAAGGAUUAAUCUUUAUAACAAAACAAUUCAUUUCCCACAAAAAAAUUAAAAGACAAAACAGAUCCUUAAUAUUAGCUAAGUCUCAUUUUGUCCUUUAUAUUGACUGGAACUUAUUGACGGAUCAACCUAAAAAUAGAAUACUGCAAAUCAAGGAUUUAUUGACAUCCCAUAUACAUAACAAGCACAAACACAAGCUCUUUGACAACAGUAAAUUGAUUUGAACUAAAACAAAAAAUAAUACAUUAAUCCCAAAGCUUCUUUAAUUAACCAGUUCUUGAAUAGCUCCCACACUUUGUGAAUCGCAAUUCUCUGAAUCUCUCUCCCUCGACGAAGUCGCCCCCUGUUGAACAAAAGCACGGCCGUUGUAAUUUCGACUGAUGAUGGAUUCUUCCGAUAUAGGCCUUUUCAGACCUAGCCCUCUUGAUCUAUCAAAUGAUCUACGAGAGCUCUCCAUUUACAUAGUAAAAAUUCGAUCAACCAAAAAACAUAAAUCAAAGCCCUAAUUUAAUCCCUACUUUAUUACAUAGUAAAAAAUUGAAAAAGAAAAAACUAGAUUUAUGGUAAUUAAAACUAACAAGGAUUUCAUACGAGACUUACAAAUCAGAUACCCUAAUCAUUGCCCUAAUUAUGUAUACACAAAAUCAAGAUUGAUACAAAAGUUCGAUCUUUGAAGACAAAUAUUGUGAAUUGAGGAGAGAGAUGAGAUAUGAUUGACAGAACUCCGAUAUUAGUCUUCAAAUCGAGCUGUCAGUUACUUUUUGACUCUGGUUUCAAAUUAAUUAAGUCUCAUUUCGUAAUCUUUCUCAUUUCGUAAUCUAAAUGAGACUUAGUUAAGUAGAGGUUUAGAAAAAGAGAAAGAUAAAGAGGGAAAUGAAACUUAGCUACUCUGAAGGAUCUGUUUUGUCUUUUAAUUUUUUUGGGAGAAAUGAAUUGUUUCGUUAUAAAGAUUAAUCCUUAUGAAAUAAUAAAAGUUAGGCCUGUAGUGCUUGGGUGGUCAUAUGAUCAAAGUUUGAAAUUGGGUAUUUUGAGUUCGAAUCAGUGAAGCGCUCACGUGGCGCCUGGGGGCUCAAAUUCCAAAUUUUUGAAUAGAAAGUGGCUUAAUUUACAUUAACCAAAAGAAAUGGACUUAAUACCCAAAAAUUUCUAAAGUUCAGUGGUCAAUUUUAUAUUUUACCCUAACUUUAUCAUUAUAGCAAACUAUUUCAUGUUGCUCGGAGGAAAAAAAAAAUAUUAGAAGGAAAAAGGUUUGGCCUAUUAGUACUCGGUAAGUUCUAAACAAACCAAACACAAUUAAUAAUUUUAUUUAUUUACUAAUAAUAGUUUAUAUAACUUAUACGUUAUUAAGGGCUCAAAUUUUAUGGGAGUAGUUAACAUAAAAUUAAUUUUGAUUAAUUGACUAAUAUAGUAUCAACACACAAAUUGAAAAAUAAUCUCUCCUUACGUGUCAACAUUAUAUUAAUUAAUUUAUCAUAAAAAUUUUCAUAAUAAUCAGAUCCAAAUUUUAUAUAUCAAAAAUAGUAUGUCGCGUUGGACCUCUAAAUACUACUACUUUACCCACAUUAAAAGUUAAUAAUCGAAAAAAUCUCUCUCUAUUGUCGUUUUAUUUAUCAUUAUCCAAACACUACUGCUCUACGCACAUUAAACGGUGCUGAGAAGAAACGUUGUCAUUGUCCUUUUUCUGCAUGUGUGAUUGAAGGUAAUUUGGGUCUUAUCAUUAUGUUAGAACUUAUGUUAUUAGCUGCUCAUGUUUAACUUGAGUUUUUUUUUUUUGGUAUUUUGCAAGUCUUGUGGUACUGUCCAAAGAGUAUGGAUUUUUUCCACUUUUAUAAUCAUGUUUUGGGUAUUAAUGAAUUUCAUUUUAUUGAUAAAAAAGAAAAAUAAAAUUUUUCUCUCAAAUUAGUCACAUGCGGAUCACAUUAUUGAAUUACAGAUUUAAACAUAAAUUUAUAAGCAAUAACUCUCUUGACUUUUUAAAAAUAUAUUUAAGUCAUUUUUUUUGUCCAUGUUAGUCUACGAAAAACUACUUAAUAGCUUUAAAAUUAAUAUAAAAAAAAAUUACAAUUAACUCCUACUUCUAUACCACGAAGACAAAGGCAACCAAGUGGAAUAGGCGGGUAAUUUAAUUAACCUAAUUGGCUUUAUAUGUUAAAGCUAAUUAGGUUCCACAAAAACAAUAUUGGAGUAGCAGCUAAUAGUGUGACAGGUGACCAUACAAUGGAUAUUUUUCAAUACGUUUCACUUUCAUGACAGAAAACUUUACGGAUUAAUUAACACACAAAAUAUAAAUAAAAAUAUUUUAUCAGUUUUUUCUUAUUAUAAUUAAAAAAGAACUGGAGACUAUAAAAGGGUAUGCAUGGAAGUCUAGAGAUCACAGAAAACACACACUUCAUUUCUUAAGAAAAAAGUUGUUGAAGUUUGAAGAGAUCAUGAGGGCAAUAUAUAUUAUCAGCAUCAUUAUAGUGAGCUUGAGCAUUUUCUCUUGUGGUGGGAAUGCUCGACUUCUUCCUGCUAAUAGAGAUUAUCCAUGGGCAAUGUUUGCCCUAAGGCUUCAAUGGCCAGCUGGAUUUUACGAGGUCAACAAUGACUGUGAUACAAAGUCUCUCCUCAACACAUUUACCAUUCACGGCCUUUAUCCCUAUAACGCGAAGGGGAUCCCAGUGUUAUAUUGUGACGGAACUGCCUUUGAUGUUAACUCUGUGAGUUCUCUCAGUCUGCAUUUAAUUUACUUCUUAAAAUCCUUGCUCUAUUGUCUAUUAAAUAUGUUUUUUUGUGGUAACAUUUAUAUAUAUCUUGAAGAGUUGGAUAUGUUUGUUUGAUAAAAAAAAUGAAAUUGUACAUGCAAUAUAUAUCCAUACAUACUCACAUAUGUUAAACUAAUUUCUCUCCUCCUUUAUUUUGAAAAUUAACAGGUAUCGGACUUUCAAGCAGAAAUGCAUCUUGCAUGGCCGAGUCAUGAAACUAAUACUGAGGACAAACAAUUCUGGGAACACGAGUGGAAUAAACAUGGAAGGUGCUCAGAAGCUUUGUUGAAGCAGACUGAUUAUUUUAGAACGGCGCUUGCUUUUAGAAAAGCAUUUGAUAUAAUUGGGCUACUAAACCAGGAAGGUAAACAUACCCAUUGAUAUAUAAUUAAAUAGUCUUUAAUUUGGUUCAUUAAUUGCUUCCUAAGGGAACUACGUACUUAAUUUAGAUUUUGUGGAUGAUUAAUUGAUAAUGUGAGUUUGAUGAGAUUACUAUUCAAAAAUGUGUAGGGAUUUACCCGAAUAACGACCUUUAUCGUCCUAAAAUGAUAAAAGAAGCAAUCAAAAAGCACUUGAAUGCUGUGCCAGAAAUCGAUUUCACCAAAAACGAAAACUCAGAAUAUGUGCUUACGGAUAUUAAUCUAUGUGUGAACCAACAAGCAACAAGGUUCGUAGAUUGCCCUACCGAUGACGCUACUGAUGACUACCGCCUCAAAUUCGUAAGACUACCUUCUAAAAUGAAAAUUGCGGAUCCGAGGACCAAUUCUAUAAUAUAGCACAAAUGGUACGGCUACAAAAUGGACUACUAUCUUGUUUAAUUAAUGCUUUUGGGAGUAUAUAUUAUCUAUGUAAAAUAGUUAUGAGUGCUAGGGUUGGCUAAUUAGUACUAUGAGGCCAACCUUUAGUAUCUCUUGAAUAAUGUCCAUGUAGCAAAAGUUUAUAGCACUCUGGCCUUGGUGUGUAUGGAUAAUUAUAAUAAAUGACUACUUUUAUCUGCAAAAAAAAAUAAAAUCCAAGUAUUUUCUUUUGUUUUUAUUUUUGAUAAGAAUUUAAUUUUAUGUAGUUUGAUGGCAUAGUUUAUCUAGGAAGCUGAUAUUUUCACAUGUUAAAAUGAUAUUUUCAAACGAGUCUCUCACAAUAUGGAUGUGGGACUUGCUCACUAUUCAUGUGAGAGGGAUUAUGUGAAAAUAUCAAAUUUUUAUGUGAAAAUAUUAGCUCCCUUUAUCUAUUAUAAUGGUGAAACAUGACUUUUUGAUAUUUUUCACAUGAAAAUCGUCGCUAUAGAUCCUUUAGUAGUGGUUUUUACUGUCGCUAUACAUCUCUAUAGCUACAUUUUUUAUAUAAAAAUAUCAAAAAAAUAUGUGGAAAUAUCAAGCAUGCAUGCAUCGUACCAGAAAACAUUUAAAGGGACACUUCAAAGGGAUUUCAGACAAAAAAUAAAACCAAAAAUAAAUGAUUUCAUCACAAUUUUGUUUUCAAGUAUUGUCGCAAAUCAGUGGUCACUAAAAAAAAAAAGGAAAAUAUAUUUGUCGCAAUCUAUAAAACAUGACUGAAAACAGGGGCGAAGCCACAGUUCAGGAUGUGUGGUCAAUUGAUUUCAUUGAAAAAUAUAUAUUUUAUAAUAUAUGAUAAAUUUAAAGAAUAUUUAAGUGUAAUAAAUAAAUUGACUUCAUUGAAAUUUUAUAACCUUUUUAAUAUACGGUGUUAAAUUGAAUUUUUUAUAACUUUCUCAAUUCUAUAUUAUUUCUACUCCUUGAUGUAUGCUUAUUUCUCUAAUAUUUUUAAAAUAAAUAAUAAUUUAAUUUAUAUUAUUUUUAUAUCAUAAGAAAUUUAAAUAUUUAUUAACAAAUUUAUGAUUAAAAAACGUAUUAGGGGUCAAUAAGGAGUUUUUUUGUGUGUGUGUGUGUGUGUGUGUGUAUAUAUAUAUACAUGUUGUUUCAUUUUAUGUCUUUAGGUUUAGUUUAUCAGGAUACUAGGUAGAUUAUUUCAUUUGGGUCUCUCUUGAGCCUUAAUUUUAGGUUGCCCUCUUUUAUAAAGAGGAUGAUUCGAUUUCAACUGCUGACAUCUGUACCAGUUGGUUCAUGGACAAGUUUCUUUUGAUAAGUUAGUAUCAUGGACAAAUAUAAAUAAUAAUUAACUGUUACAAUGAAAAUUAAACUUCAAUUAAGUCUAGGCCAUUCAUACAUUGAAAAAAGCUUCUUGAAUAGGUUAGAGAGUUUGUGAAAUAUUUUUUUAGUUUGCUUAACCCUUUGAAAAGCGGUUGUGGUAAGAACAAAUAUUGAUAAGUUAUUGAAACACCGCUUUUCAAAGGGUUAAGCAAACUAAAAAAAUAUUUCACAAACUCUCUAACCUAUUCAAGAAGCUUUUUUCAAUGUAUGAAUGGCCUAGACUUAAUUGAAGUUUAAUUUUCAUUAUAACAGUUAAUCAUUAUUUAUACUUGUCCAUGAUACUAACUUAUCAAAAGAAACUUGUCCAUAAACCAACUGGUACAGAUGUCAGCAGUUGAAACCGAAUCAUCCCCUUUAUAAAAGAGGGCAACCUAAAAUUAAGGCUCAAGAGAGACCCAAAUGAAAUAAUCUACCUAGUAUCCUGGUAAACUAAACCUAAAGACAUAAAAUGCAGUAACAUAUGUACAUGAAGGACAUAUUGAAACACUGCUUUUUUUUUCUUUUUUGAUAAGUUAUUAAAACACCGCUUUUCAAAGGGUAAGCAAACUUGAUACAGGAAGAGAAGUAACCCUUUGAGCAGCAGGAACCCAUCUGGGUGGAGGCGAAUCCAACAAUCAACUCAGAAUUACAAAAUCCUAUACAAUAAGAUUACACACAAACUCUAAAUUUCAUUCAUUUAGUUAGAAAAUUAGAAAAUACCUUGGGAGACGACGAACUUGCUUUCGAAUUCGUCCGGCGAACUUGCUUUCGAAUUCGUCCGACGAGAUGCUUGGAUUUGCGAUUGAGAAUGAGCCAGAUUUCGUCUGGCGAGAUGCUUGGAUUCGCGAUUGAGAAUGAGCAAGAUGGUCUCUGUCCUUUUUUUGACCCGAAAAGGAUCCGCGGCUAUUUUUUCCCAAAAGGUCUGUGUCUUUUCCUCGCCGUUGGAUGUAUCUCACGAUUAGUAUGAAAAGUUCGUAUUUUUGGCAACAUCCGGGCGCCCGGACCAGAUCGUUUCUGUAUAUGUAUGUAUGUAUAUAUAUAUAUAUAUAUAUAUAUAUAUAUAUAUAUAUAUAUGCGUUGUGAGAUCUGUGGUAUUGUGUUGCAUGGGGUAAUAUAAACUAUGCAAUAAGUGAUUUCUGUGUUUAAUAAAUAUAUUAUUAUAUAUUUGUUAUUUAUUGAAGAGGCAAGUUAUUUGAAGUAAAGAAGAUGGAUAAAAAUUUAUCGAUAUUAAAUAAUUUAUGUGAAAUUAUUUUAUCGUAGUAAGUUGGUGACAUUAAAUAUAUUUGAUAAUCACCAAUUUCUUUAGUAUAUGUAUGAGUAAGUAUCACGUCUAAGGCAGUGCAACCGUACCCUUUAAUGGUGGUUGUGUAGGAGCUGGGCUAACUGAUUCCUUCAGAGAGCGGAGAUAUAUACAAAUUAGUAACCGAUCUAACUUACUGUGAAAACAGUGUAGACGAGAAGGAAAGUAAUUUGUUGGUUAUUUGUGGGAAACCACUCAGUGUACUAUAUUGAAUACUAUUAAAGACUCGAUGUGUGUUAGGUUUAGACUUGUAUAUAUAUACGUUAUUGACGAGAGAAGAAAAUCGAUAUAUCUUUAGAUAAAUAUUGGUUAGAGAUUUAUUGAUUAAUAUUGAGAUAUGAUUAAAUGUAUAGAUUAAAGAAAUUGUGUUGAGACAAUUUAUAGAAAGGAAAGAGAAAUAAUUAUAGUAUAUUUCUAAUAAAGGAUAUUAAAAUAAAUUCUAGCAUUUGAUUAUUUUAAUAAUAAUGGGGAAUAUUAUUUUGAAAUUACCUUAUAGGUAAUGUGUGUGAUUAAGUAAUAUGGUAAAUAUAUUAAAACAUAUUUGCUAUAUAAGUUGAUGGAAACAAUUUAUCAUAAUAGGAAAUAAACUUAUUUUCUAUAUAUAGUGUGUACGUGUGUCGUGCAUGUAAAUAUUUUAAUAAUACAUAGAUAUUAUAUUAACAAUAAUAUCUUGAGAAAAUGAGUAAAUCGUUUUAUUAUGAUUAGUUCCUAUAUUUAGAGAAAACAUGAUAAAAUCAUCGUAUGUUAUGUUAUGGCGAAAUACAUAAUUUUGAUUGUAGUAAUGUAUUUCCAAGAAGGUUAAAGUUAAAAGAAAACUAAGUUAUUCUAAUAACUUGAGUUAUUAUAUUACCGCGAAUGUUAUAAAGAAUAUUUAAAUAUCUUCAUUCACGAUAUAUUUAUAUAUGUGAAUCUUGUGAUAUAAUAGUUCGAUGUAAAUUGAACAUAUUAUAAAUAGUAAGGUUCGUGGUAAAUGAAUAAGUAAUGAGAAUGAGGAUAAGCUUAAUGUAAGCUUGUGAGAUAUGCCUAGUGUGGUAAAGUGAUGGAAUAAACAUUCAUUAAAUAAUUUAAUGAAUGAAUAAUUGAAGGAAUUAAAUUGUAUGUGCAAUGAUUAUAUAUUAUAUAGUAACUACAUCUAUAUGAUAUGAAAUGAAGUGUGACACUUCAAUGGUAACUAUAUAAUAUAUGAAGUAUUUGAAUACAUAUGUAUAAAGACUAGUAUGCUAGCAUUAUGUACAAGUGAGAUAAUAAAUGUAAUAUGGUACAAUAGACCACUUCCAUGACCAUAUUAUAAGAUGUAAUGUUAAGAAUAAUAUUAUUUUGUGAGAUUAUUUUAUUAUAAGCUUGUGGACUAUUAAUUACUAAGUUCACAUAAUUAUGUCUUGUGUGGCAUAACUAGUGAAGUUAAAUCAAAGGGAGAAUUAAUGGAAAGUAUUAAAAGAAAAUAAAUGGUGAGUUAAUAAAUAAUUGAUAUUAAUUAUCAUUAUGAUAAUUGAGGGUAUUUGAGGUAAUAAAGUUUAUGGAAAAUGAUGGAUUGAGAAUAUCCAACUAUUUUAUAUUUAGCCCAAUAAAAAUAUUAAUUGAAAUAAACCAAUGUACAUAGAUUAUAUAAAUUCUAUGUGUAAUGUAUAAGUGAGUGUAUAUGUAUGAUCAUUUUUGGACAAAUAUCAAAUAAACCUAAGUAUGCUAAUAGUAAUACAAAAUGUUGAGUUUUAAGGGUAGUGUCCCAAAUUGUGUGUCAUUUCUCCAUACACGUGAAAUGCAAAAAGGAUAGCUAGCUAGCUUGCUUCUUCUUCUCCAAAAUCCAUAGCUUCCAAAUGAUGAAAAGGGGAGUGAGUUGAUUUGAUUUUCCACCAACUUCUCAUGAACCAUUAGUUUCUUCUUCAUUCCAUUGAGCAAAGUUCCAAUGUUGGUCAAAAAGUUUUCCUAUAAAUGAAGCAAGUUUCAUUCUUGUACUUCUUGUUGAUCACUCUGUGAAGUUCAAAAAUUUGUGUGUGUGAGUGUUGUUGAGUUGGAGAGGAAACUUGAGAUUGAAAGCAAAGAGUUUACUUCACAACUUUAGAAGGUAAUAUCCCUCUAUAUGUUAUUGAAUUCAAGUUUUGCAAAGUUCUUAAAAAAGUACUAAAAUACUUGUUUUGAGUUGAAAAGUUUAUGGUUGAAGCAUGAUAAAGUGUGUCAAUUGAUGCUAGACACUGAUAAUAUAGUCAUAUGCGAAAACAGCGAGAGUUAAACGGACCAAUUUGGUUUAGAAACGAAUUCGUAGUGAAUGAAUUCACUAAACUUUUCAAAACAUGAAAAUUAGUAUGAACAUGAGUUUUGGAUUAAGAAUUAGGUUAGUUAGGGUUUCUGUAAAUUGUUAUAAUUCUAGUAUGUUGUAGUUCUAUGAAUUACGAAUCCAUAGAAUCAAAAACGGACUAAUUUGGACAUGUAUAACUCAAAUUAUGAAGGUUAGAAAGAGGUUUGGCAUGAUAUCUCGUAGCAGGGGAAAUGAAAAUUUUCAAUUUCAACAGCUAUGCCCGCCCCGGCGGGGGUCUUGCUGUGAAAAAGGCCCGCCCCGGCGGAAGAGGUGGGGGGGGNNNNNNNNNNNNNNNNNNNNNNNNNNNNNNNNNNNNNNNNNNNNNNNNNNNNNNNNNNNNNNNNNNNNNNNNNNNNNNNNNNNNNNNNNNNNNNNNNNNNNNNNNNNNNNNNNNNNNNNNNNNNNNNNNNNNNNNNNNNNNNNNNNNNNNNNNNNNNNNNNNNNNNNNNNNNNNNNNNNNNNNNNNNNNNNNNNNNNNNNNNNNNNNNNNNNNNNNNNNNNNNNNNNNNNNNNNNNNNNNNNNNNNNNNNNNNNNNNNNNNNNNNNNNNNNNNNNNNNNNNNNNNNNNNNNNNNNNNNNNNNNNNNNNNNNNNNNNNNNNNNNNNNNNNNNNNNNNNNNNNNNNNNNNNNNNNNNNNNNNNNNNNNNNNNNNNNNNNNNNNNNNNNNNNNNNNNNNNNNNNNNNNNNNNNNNNNNNNNNNNNNNNNNNNNNNNNNNNNNNNNNNGUGUCCUGCAAUGACUUAUUUUAUCUGUUUUGGUAAAACGGAUAUAACGUUUUCAUACAAACUCCGAUUGAGGAGAUUCAAGAUGAUCCGGAACGAGAAUGAAUAGACCCUCAACUUUUGUUCUUUACAUUUUUCAUUUUGAGGUUGUUAGAAUGGGUCAAAACAGUCAUCUUUGUGACUGUUACGUAUAUGUUAUUCUAAGUUAUUAAACAUAAAUAUGUAUGAUAAUAGACAUGUCAUAUAGCUAAGAUUUCUUUACUCAUAAUGAAAUGCGUUAACAUGAUUUUCUAAAAAACACUUAAAAGUUUUUGAGAAACGAAAGUUGAUGAAAUUGGUGUCCAUUGAGUUCUGAGCUUGGACCCUAUGUACGCAUAUCAAUGGACAUGAAAUUUAGUUUUAAAGUUACCUUGCAUAUACUAGAUUGAUAUAGCUUGGUUUAAAGUGUUUUGAAAGAAAAACUUGAAGUUUUGAAAAUGAAACUUGACGAACUUUGUGUCUUUUAAGCUUCGACUUUGGGAACAUGUGAUUGUGGCCUAGUUAUGCGUGUGGAUGGACAAGGAAUGUAAUUUCAAGAUAUAUUGCACAUAAAAGGUUGUCAAGCUCGGUUUAGUAUGUGUUUUAAAUUUUUUUUAAAAGUUUUAGAAACUAACUUUGAUGAGCAUUGUAUUACUUGCAUUAUGACCUUAUAAGCAAGCAUGAUAGAGUUGUCUAUGACUUUGAACAUGAAUGAUAUGUGCACUCAACUAGUCAAGCAUGACCUAAGUUAUUUAAGCAUGUUUUAAAAGUAUGAACUAUGCUAUGUCUAUGUAAAUGAGAUAGAUACAUGUGAUCAUGCUAUUAGAGGCUUAUUAGUACCAAUAUAUAGUUUAAAAGCUUAUAACAUUGAAUCUUGUUAAAGAAAGUUGUUAAGCCUUAUUGAUUAAAAUAAAUCAUUAUGGAGCUAAGUAGUUUGAAUAUGAACUUGAAAAUAGAUCACAACCUAUUUAAUGUCAAGUACGGAUGGUUAAGAUAUACUUAUACAUGCCUAGCUAUUCAAAGAUUAGGAAGAGAAAGUGAAAUGAAGGUUUUACAAACCUAGUUAGGAAACGAUAUAAUAUUUAUUAUUAUAUUAAGAGCAUAUGAAAUGUAUGACUGAUGGAUAUGAAUCCAUGAUUAUAUAACUAUGUAGGAAUACACGCAGUGCAGAUAAGCUUUAAGCAGUUAAGUCAUAGUUGAUAAACUAUGAAUCAGGGUCUUUCAGUUCUUAUUUGAUAUAUGAAUUUGAUAAUUGUUAGUUGAGCUAUAUUAUGCUAUGAGAAUGUUGAUGUAUAUAUAUGAAAUGCAUAUGAGAUAUGUAUGAAAUUGAAAGUUGAUCUUUGAUGAUAUGCUUGUGAAGUAAAUGUCUAUGCCUGUUAUGUGAGAAGUAACAUGUGUAGUAAAUAUUAAUUGAUUAUGAAUGCAUGAACUGAGUAUGUUAUUAUAUGCUAUGUGCUGCAUGAAAACUGUUAGAAUUGCUGGGUUGUCGAGCUCACCCUUGCAAAUAACCACUUUUACAGGUUAAGGACUCACGAUAAAGAUUACGUGCUACUUGAUACAUAAAGUUCAAUAGCAUCAAAGGAGAUUUAUUUAUUUAUUUAAAUAUAUGACCUUGAACCAUGUUUAGGUUCUAGGAGAUGUACAUAAUAGUAGUUUACGAUAAGUAAUACAUGUUAAGUUGUACUAUGUGAUACAUAGAGGAAUUCGAAUCGAGAUGUAAAGAUUUUUACAGUAAUUCGAAUAGAAUGAAUCAUAACAUAAUUUGAUUCAAGGAGAUCUAAUUGAUUCAAGUUAAGACAUCAAUAAAAGAUUUUUUUUAAGAGAUUGAAAAAGUUUAAAUUAUUCUGCAUAUUUUUAUAACAUCGAAUAUGAUAUAAGACAAGAAUGGUAAAUGACCAAGAUUAGAAACUUAUAAAAGUUUGGGGUCAUUACACAGAUCCUGGCAAUAGAAAGAAUUUAUUUUCUAAAUUGUAAUAAGCUAAGUUAUAUUCAUUAAGUUAUGAAUAAAAGAUAUAAAUAGUUUGACGAUAGUAGUAUCAUGGCGGACUGGAUCCGAGGUUCGAAGGGACCCGGAUUUGGGGGCGUCACAAUCACUAUUCAAAUACAUACAUAUAUCACCUGCUUAAUAUUGUAUACAUUCUUCAUUUAUUCCACACGUGUCUCAUAAAAAAUAAUAGAAACAUCCAUUCAUUCUUCUAUAGGCCUUAACCUCACAUAUUCAACAUUUGCCUAUAAUAUAAAUUAGGAUUACUUGAGAUUUCACGUAUAUGAAAUUACAUAUUUUCACAUCUCGACUCUUUACACAAUUUAAUACUUCAUAAUAUCAUAACGUAUCUUAUAUUAUUACAAAAAAUUAAUACAACAUCCUAAUCUAUUACAUCAACAUUAUUCAUUCUUUCUAACAACCGUUUCUUUCUCUUUUAUCUAUAUCUUUUGGACCCUUUUGAUCCUUCUGCCUUUUCUAAAAAUUUGAAAUAAAAUGCAAGAGCGAACAACAGAUUUGCUUAACAAGUUUAAAAAUAGUUUAGAAUAAUAAGCACAAGUAUAAAUCCCAGUCACUGAAUUAACAUUACAGAUAAUAAUCUUAAAAAUUCUGAAACACUCAGCAUCAACAACGUAGCAUAACAAAAUGUCACUACAGGAAAAAGACUUAUCUAUAACCACCUAUUAGUGACUGUACUUGGUCGCAGAUGCAUAUCAGCGAUUGAAUGCGGUCGCUGAUAAUAGUCACAUAUAAUCUGGCCGUUGUGUGGAUCCCAACGACCACUAUUAGUGACCGAUAUAUCAGCGACCGCCCUAUAGCGACCGAUGUCGUCGCUAACCUGAGUCACUGUGAGUCAGGUCUCAGGGGUGACGUGGCCCAAUUUUUGCGACCAACAUUAUCGAUCGACGUGGUCACUAAAAACCUCAAGUCAUUUUUUAGCGGUCGCUGAUACGUAUUAGUGACCGCCUGCGGUUGUUGAUACUUAAAUUUUUUUUUUUAAAAAAAGAUUGUUUUGGGGAUUUAAUUCCCUACACAUAUUAGUGUCUAUUUGUACCUGCUUUAUAUCUUAAAACACAGCUGUAUCAAUAAAUAAACCAACAUCCAUACAAAUACAUCGAUCCAUAUAUAUACACAUCCACACAUGUAUAAACAUAUAUAAACAAAUACCAUCCGACUAAAUUUUUUAUACAAAUAAAAUGUCAUAACAUACAAUAUAAACUCCGUACAUUCAUUCGGUAAAAAAAGAAUAAUACAAAUGUUCACAUAAAAGAGAAGAGAACAAUACAAAUGUCUGCAUGCAUCAAAUAUCGUCCAAAUGAAGUUGUAACAAAAUAUGUUAAAUAUAAAGUAUACAUGUUGAUACUGGCGUGACUUAUGCAAAGCAAAAAAUGACCAUUUAUGAUGUAUUACAAUAACAAAAAGCUAAACAUAAAUAAAAAACUAAACAUGUAUUAUUGAAUGUAAAACUAAACUAAGCAUCAAAGCUAAACAUAAAGGUAAACAAUGACAAGAUUACCUCGACAUCAUUAGCAUGUUGUUAUGAUGUUUUCACCACUACAUAAGCUAACUCUUUAGGACUCAGAGAUUGUAAAUAUCCGCCAAUUAUAAAGUCGGUCGUCGUUAAUAAAGCUUGUCCCCAAUACUCCUUGAGAAGUGUAAUCUAGUUAUGGCUCACCUCUCCAUGAAAUCAAGAAACAUCCUCGGUUUGAAAGCCCUAUGCAUUUCAGUUGUUACUCCUGUUUUUGCAAAAUCAACUGCCAUAGAGUGAAGGGUUGCCAACUGAAGAUAUUUUUUACUCAUAACUUUAUUUGACUCAAGGUCUGUAUGUACCAAAUGUGCAAUAGAGAUUGUACCUAAGGUAUCAUUAAUCAGAUAAUUAAUUAACAGAGAACUUUUGAAUUUCCUGCAAAAUUAGACUUAUUGGAAAAUCUCAGACUAUUAUGAACAUAAAUAAAAUAAAAUUUAGCUUUAAACUACCUCUAAUGUCAUAUCAUGAUCCAUCAAGCGUGGUCUUCGUCUAGUAUAGUUCAUGGGGGGGGGGGUACAGUUCAACGUGGGAUGAGAUUAUCAUCCCAACUUAUGAAAUUGAGCUCAACCAUAUAGACCUAGCUCUUCCAUUCCCAAAUCAACUGCUACAGUUCAUUGUAAUUGAACUAAUUAAGGAAGUAACAGUUCAAUAGAUAGAGAGGAAAAGCGGGCCAGGACUGGAAACUGGAAGGGAGUUAAUGAGAAUACAAAGUGUCACCAUUCUUAGAUGUUUCUUUUGCAUUUUUUGUGUAUAGACAAAUAUAUAAAAAUAAAUGUGGCUAUUUUUCAAUACACUCAUUAUUUCUUGAUGUAAAUCAUAUAUUCUCGAUGCAGAAGAUCAACUAGACACUUUCUAUGACGCCCCUAAAAUUAGUCCACACAACCCAUUUUGGGUCGCCAAAUACACACUACAGAAUCUAAAUACAAAUCUUUCAAUUUAUAACUAUUAAAAUGUUGUGUAAAAUACAACAACACAUAAACUGGGAGUUUCAAUAAAAAUAACAGUACUCACACUCCAAACUAAUGAUACUUUACAUAAGGGUAAAAUGCAAAGCAAAUCUGACGUCAGCAUUUUUUAUUUUAUUUUACAUAGUGGACAGGCUGACAUGGCAAAUAUUGAAUUUACCUAGCAAAAAUUAUGUUUGCUGCCAAGAUUUGAACUUGAGACCUCUAGCUUAAAACUUGAACCCAAUAACCAACUAAGCAAACAAGACUAGUUGUUAUAAUUUUGCAAGGAUUAAUAUUUAUAACUGAACAAAUUAUUUUCCCCAAUAAUAACAACAACAACAACAACAACAACAACAACAACAAUAAUAAUAAUAAUAAUAACAAUAAUAAUAAUAAUAAUAAUAAUAACAAUAAUAAUAAUAAUAAUAAUAAUAACAAUAAUAAUAAUAAUAAUAAUAACAAUAAUAAUAAUAAUAAUAACAACAAUGAUAAUAAUGAUGAUGAUAAUAAUAAUAAUAAUGAUAAUGAUAAUAACAAUAAUAAUAAUAAUAAUAAUAACAACAACAACAACAACAACAACAACAACAACAACAACAAUAAUAAUAAUAAUAAUAAUAAUAAUAAUAAUAAUAAUAAAAGACGUUAUUAAAGACAUCAAAGACUCCUACAAAGACAUCGGAUUAUUAUUCAAAUUAUAAUCCAUCAAAGACAUCAGGAAUAGUGGGGAUGUUUAUUCAAAUUUUAUUUUUAUUUUAUUAUUAUUAUUAUUAUUAUUAUUAUUUUGAAAAACUCCUACAAGAUCUGUUAGUUAUAAUCAGUCCAGAACAGAUCCAAAAUUCAGCCAAAAAUCCCACAACAUUUAUAUGAUUCAAAAUCCCACAACAUUUAUAUAAUCCAAGGACAGAGUAACAGUUUUAUAGAUCUAGAUCUAUAUCAACUAAACCCAUAACAGACUAAAUUAACACUCAAAAUAAGAUCUAGGCCUCCGUCGACUACUCCGUUACCAAAAGAAUCGCCGGCGAAACGACGUCCCACAAGAUCCGCCUCUUUCAUCUUUCAUCUUCCUCUCCAAUCCCAAUUAAAUUGAAAAUACAAAACAUUAAUUAAAUUAAAAGGAAAAAAAUAGCCUUCAUCAGAAUCCACCUCUUUCAUCUUCCUGGAUGGUGUUUUCAGUUCAGUCUUGUCCAUCACCUGUGGAAAGAAAAAAUAAUAAAGAGAAGAGAAAGGCACUAGUGGUCCGGUUAAGAACACGUGAUUAAUGACUGCUACAACAUCUCUGACGAACUUCACAAGAUUUUCUCCUAUAUGUUCACCUGUAAAUGAGAAACUCUACUUAUGUUUCGAUUGUCAUAAUAUUUUGAAAUUGUACAAGUAAUUGAUGAAUUCUCGGUCGAAUUCGACUUGGGGUUUUGUUCAACCAUUUUCAAACUUACUAAAUCUCCCCUUUUAUUUUAUUAUAAUUGUUUGUAAGCUUUUAUAAUUGUUUGUAAACUUUUAUAAUUUGUUUUAUAAUUUCUGGAAAUGUCUAAUAUUUUGAAUAUGGGAUAUUUUUAAGUUUUAAUUUUAAGCUUAUUUUUAAAUAUAUUCUUUUUAAAUUUGUAAAUUAGUUUUAAUUUAAAAUUUUUAAUUUUAAUCUAUAAAUUUGCUAAUGUUAAUUGUUUAAUUUUUUAAUUAAUGUUGAUUGUUUAAUUUGUUAUCCUUUUAAUAUUAUGUCGAGGGAAAUGAACUGAUUUAGUAUAAAUCUUAAUUCUUUUGUUAAAAUAAUUGAAAGUUUUAUGUAGCUCAGGUGGUUUAAUGGUCAAAGUUUCAAAAUUGAGAUUUUGGGUUCGAUUCUUGGGGAACUAAGUUUUUUAACAAUUAAUUGAAAAAUGCAUAGAUAAGUAGCUCCACAUGACAAAAAUAUCCACGUCAUCGGUGCCACGUGUGCCACGUAGGCAGGUCAACGCACCUGGGGGCUCAAUAUCCAAAUUUUCAAACAGAAAAAGGGCUCAAUUUGCGUUGACAAAAAAAAAAGGGCUCAAUACCCAAAAACACCUAAAGUUCAGUGAUCACAUUUGCAUUUACAUAAAGGUACAAUCAAUAUAACGAUCGAGAAAUUUGAAAUUUAAUUUUAAUAUUUAUGGAAUUAAAUAAAUAUUUAAAAUUAUUGAGGAAAAUAAAUAUUUGAUGAAUUGUCAUAAAUUAAUUUAGUAGCUAAAUUAAUUAAUGUUAAUUGAAUCGAGUAAUGAUAAUUUUAUUUGUUGGAUUUAAUUUAAGGAGAUAAUUAAAUUAAAUCAAUUGCUUAAUAUUUAAGAAAUUAGUUAAAUUAAAUGAAUUGUUUAAUUUAAAGGAAAUAAAUAAAUUAAAUAUAGUGAUGUGUCUAAUUUAUUAAUUAAAUUAGAUAUAUAAUUAUUUAUUAAUGAUAAUAAGAUUUUUAUUAUUAGUAUUAUAAGUUAUUUAAAUUAACUAAACUAAGUUAUUUAAAUUAAUUAACUAAAAGUGUGAUAUAAAACUAUGUAAUAUAAAUGUUAUUAAAAUAAUUUAGUUUGGGGAAAGUUGGUUAGCCAAACCAGGCCUUAUGGCCUUUGGCAUUAUUCCAACUGACGAGUCUUUUUAUUUUUCUAACGUAAGGGAACGUGGGAGCAGCUAGCUUAUAUUUUUCCUACGCAUAUUAUUUUCUAAGGCUAGCAUUCAGUUUCUUUUAUUAUUCACGUAUUUGACUAAGGAGGAAGAGCAGAGUUGAGAGAAAAGAGAGAGCGUAAGAAUUGAGAGAGAAGAAGAAUUACAAGGAACUUGAGAGAUUGAGAGGAAACCUAAGCAAUUUCAGUGUUAACAAGGGUUAAACAUAUUGAAGGUAUUCUAUCUAACCCUUGUAUUAUAUAUAUAUAUAUAUAUAUAUAUAUAUAUAUAUAUAUAUGAACUUACGGCAAAUUUGUUAUGUUUUGUUAAUUGUAAUUCUUUCAAAAUUGUUGUGUAACUAAAGUAUGGUGGAUGUGUGGUAUAAUGCUAGAGUUUAUGUUUAAAACGAGAAGUUUGUAUGCUAAAUUCGUUGACAGUAGGAAGAAAAUUUUGACAGUAUAUGUGUUUCAUAUGGUUCAUGGAAAAGUAUUAAUUUUGAUGGCCAAUUCUUAUGUUAAACUAUAAAUUUAAGCUUGUAUAUGUUAGUUCGUUGAGAUACGAGCAUAACGUAAUUUGAAGGAGGUGAUUUGGUCAAAUAAUGAAUUCACAGUGAUGAUUUUUGGGAUAGACUAUCAAAAAUGGAGUUUUAUAUAAAAAACAUGAAAAUUGAGAAAUUAAAAUAGUUUUAGUUGUUGUUAAUUUGUGCUAAGUGGUUGAAUAUGUUAGCAAUCAUGUUUAUGAUAGUUGUAUAUUUAUUUUUCAUGUUGUUAUCACCGUUUGAUGGAUGAAAUUGGUGUUUGUUGGGCUAAAGUCGGCUACUGUUCAUUAGCCUUCUCUGCGUCUGUCUGAACACCGACGCAACUGCGCCGGUGCCAAGGCAAAAAACGACGCAGCUGCGCCGGUCCCAGGCUUAAGUAUGGCGCAGCUGUGCCAUACCCUGGUCUGAGACAGUGAAGUCUGCUUAUUUGCAGAUCAUGUGUAAUGGACUUAUAUUAGUUUAGCAUGCAUGUUAAUGAUGUUGAGGCAUAAUAUAAACUACAAUAACAGAUUGUCAUGCGUUGUUAUAUAAAGUGUAAAAGAAUUUAAGUGAUUACUUGAAUAAGUUUUGUAAUGAACCAAAUGUGACGUUUUCAAAAGUUAAAUAUAAAUGAUAAGGUUUAUAGUGUGAUUGCAGAAUUGUUAAGGUGUUAACCAACGUGGUUAGGUGCUAGGUUAGGGUUAUGACCUAAAUGUUGGUUUAAACCCUAAAAGCUAAUAUUCAUACAAUUAAUUGUUGUUGUGAUUUCAAUGAUAUGUGUAGGGUAAUUGGAGAUUAUCUUACAUUUGUGUAGCUUACAAAAAAGGCAAGUUUUCUAACUCUACCUUGUUAUUAUUGAGCAAGUUCUUAAAUCUUAACUCUUUACAUUGAGCAAAACUUUCUAACUUCAUUAUUUUCAUAUUAAAUGCAAGUUUCCAUUCCUAAAUUAUUAUUGUGCAAGUUCCUAACAUUCUUUAUGAAGUUGAGCAAGCUUAACCUAUCUUGCGUAUGUUUGUACAAGCUUAUAUAACCUAAUUCGUUACGUUGAGCGAGAUUUAGUUUCCUAAUUAUUAUUUAAAGCAUAUAUUGUUCUAAAACAUUGAUUCAAGGGAGAUUGUUUUAACUCUUCUAUAGCGCUUUGCAUGUAUAUCAUGUUUACUCAAUUAUAUAUUAUUGUUAUUCAAUAUUUGACUUUGAUAACCUUGUUCAAAGCUUUAUCGUUGUAUUAAACCUUCAAUUAGUAAGAAAACAUUUAUUAAUUGAAUUAAUCUAUAUUCGAAUAGUGUUCUAAAAUUCUAGAAACACUGAUAAGCUAGUUCCAAACUAAACUUUCUUUAGUGCGGAAAUUCUAAAUCCAAACUGAGACGAACAACCCUAACAUAGGGGAUUUUGUACGUGUAACAUUUAGAUGUUUGUACACAAUACAUGGUACAAAGGGCUGAUCCCCCUAAGUACGUUAAGAAGGGUCCGUAUAGUCUAAAUGACUGUUAAGGUUGGGUAAUAAUACCUAAGUACCGGGGACAUAGUCCAUGGUCUUAAGACCCUCAGAUAAUUAAAGUUCGAACUUUUUUUCUAGUUUGAUUUGUAGAACAAAUUCCUUAUUGUUCAGCUUUUGUUGUUCACUCUCAUGUUACUACCAUUGCUACUUUCUAUAUUAGUGAGCAUUUGUUUGCUCACUCUUGCAAUUAACACUGUAGCUAAAGUGGAGAAAGUUGAUGAGUCAUCGACUAGCAAAGGCAAGGGCAAGAUGUCCAAAUGAUGAAGACUUAUGAGAAUUUUAUUUUAAUGAAUUAUGUUAAAGACUUGUUUUAAUAUGUGAUGUAUUCCGCAAACUUAUGUAAUAAUUUUAAGGUUAGAUUAUCUGGGAUUUAUUUUGAGAUGAUGAUGUAACCCUUUAAUGGGGAAAAUUAUUGUUUAAGUUAUUUAAAAUUAUGUCUUUAUCCUUUAUUAUGGGUAGUUAGAUGUAAUAGUUUGUGAUAAGUGAGCACCAAAUCCUGUGGGAAUGGAGUACCUGGAUUUGGGGGUGUCACAAUCAAUAACUAUUUUAGGAAUUAAAAUUUUUAAAAAAUGCUCAAGGAAGCCUUCAUACAUGGGAGGCCAUGCAUUUAUGUUAUGAUAGAUAUCAUUUGACUUGAGAAUUAACCUUGGUUGACUCAAUAGACCCCAAAGAAGAACGAGAAUAUUACUAUCCUGUUCAUUCCAAUGGUGUGUAUCUUUUUGCCAUAUAAUUAUCUCCAUUGACUCAAACUGAGGAUUAUAUUCUAACCAUACUCCAAGAUUAUAUAGAUAAUGUUCAUAGAUAUAGUCAGCAAGUGGAUGCACACAACUAUAUCUUAUGAUAACACGGAUUUGUAUGUGGUUAAACAUCAUAUAUGAUAGUAUAUGAUAUAUGAUAUGUCCUCCCAGUAUAAUUAUGUCCUCCUCAUUAUAAUGGUGUGCAUUUUUGAUGCUUCAAAAGUCGGAUUCUCAUCACCUUAUUGUUGUUCACCAAAAUUAACUAUUAAAUGACGUAUAAAAUACGACACACACAUUUUAAGUCCUCAAUACAAUUAUAUAUUAUCAUGCUAUUUUAUAAUGUAUUGAGAAACUUCAACAGACACAGACUAUAACUCUAUUCCCCUGUUAUCCCUGCUCAAUCCAGCUACACUUUUAUUACCUGAAAGAAAUUGUGAAGCAAAAGGGUGAGCACAAAUAGACCAGUAAAGAAUAUUAUGACUAAAGAUAAUUAAAUUAUCAAUAGUCGUCAUCAGUAAUAAUAUAUAAAAUAUUUAGAACAUAUGGUAGAUGAUAAAAGUUUUCAAGCAUAAUUACAGCGGAAUCAACAAUCUAUUAGAAGAGUCAAGUAGAACAUAAUGUCUACUAUCUCCUCCAAAUUAAAAGUCCAUCAUUAAUAUUUCAUUCCUGUAAUACCCAUCAAUGGUUCUUUGUUGUACCCAAAACAAAGAGAACUUUUAUCACCUUUCUUCACCUGAACCACCAAAGAUUAUAGUUAAAAUCAUAAUUCAUGUUUAUAAUAAUGUAAAUCAAUAGUUUCUCCUUGCCACAAAGGGUUAAUAGAACUUUCACUCAAUGUUCUUGUCAUAAAGGCUAAAGACACUCAAUAAUCAUAUCGUCUUUACACCUUGCACUAAAGACAUUCAAUUGUAACAAUAAUUGUCAUGAUCAUACCAAUCAAUUAUCUAUCUUUGCACUACGUGCCAAAGAUAUUCAACUGUAAUAUCAGUGGUCAUGAUCAUACCAAUCAAUUGUCUAUCUUUGCACUACGGGCCAAAGAUGUUCAGCUGUAAAACUAAUAAUCAACAGUCCAUCUUUUCACUAUGAACCAAAGAUAUAUAACUGUAAAAUCAAUAAUCAACAGUCCAUCAUUGCACUACGGGCCAAAGAUAUACAACUGUAAAAUCAAUAAUCAAUAGUUUAUCUUUGCACUACGGGCCAAAGACAUAACCUUGUAAAUCCAAUAAUCAGCUGUUCAUCUUUGCACUACAGGCUAAAGACAUACAACUGCAACACCAAUGAUCAUGAUUAUACCAAUACACAAUUCCGUUCAUGGUUAUACCAAUACACAAUUCAUGUUCAUAAUCAUACCAAUCAAUAGUUCAUCUUUGUACUAUGGGCCAACGAUAACUUUCCAACAUAAAUUUAAGUCUGAGGAUGAUAACAAUGAUAUAAAGAAUGAAUCAAGUGAGAUCAAGAAUAAAUAUUAAAAAUUUAUAAUUCAAUUUAUCCAAAGUUCAGGAAUGUCCAAAUUGUUAACAUGAUAACUAAUUGUAGAGUAAAAUUCAAGAAUGAUAUUCAUGUAUCAAAAAUAAUUUGGACAGAAAAAAAUAAAUUUUGUCGUGAAUAGUACCCCGAAUAUUCAAUACACUCAUUAUUUUUUGAUGUACAUCAUAUAUUCUUGAUGUAGAAGAUCAACCACACUUUCACUCAAUAGAAAUAUUAAUCACCUGAGUCUCUCUGAAAUUUUCAACUACUCCAUGAGAGUACAUUGCAAGCAAAGGUUUUUAGCGAUUAAUUCCUAGUGAAUUAAGAGUUCAUUGCUUAAAAGGGUUGUUUCCUUGAGAGAUGAACACUGAAAACCUUUGCAAGCAAUGAACGCUCGGGGUUGGGAGUGUGGUCAACUUACAGAGUUAGAUCUAUGAGUCCCUAACAUCUCUAAUUGAAAUUUCUAAAUUAUCCGGUCCUUGUAUAUUUUUCGGUGGACAGUUUCUACCAAAACAAGACAAAGCUGAAAAAACCGAAAAACCCUACUGCCCUAAAAUUUUUGUGGGUUGUUUGGGCCACUUAAACAUUGAAAUAAAUUUAGGCCUUUUGGGAAAUGAAAAUAUAUGAUAUAAUGAAACUCUGGUCAGAAGAUGAACAAAUUCCUACAUCAGACGAAGGAGUUAUGACCAAUUCAAUAUUAGGAUUUUUCAGAUAAAAACUGUCAUAACUUGAGUUCUACAACUCUGAUGACCACAAAAUUAAAAAUGGAAAUUCAUGUUAAUAUGUAUAAAAUUCUUCCAAGACUUGGGAAUUUUUGGAGUUGAGCAUGAUAUAGUUCAUUUUACUAAGUUACGUACUAAAAUGGCUCUUUGAAAAAUAAGAAAAUUGAAAAAUUGUAAUACAAUUAUUUUUUUGUGGAAAAUAUAUAGGUAUGUGUGUCCAGGCAGAGAAAAAAAAUAAUAUAAUGGUUAAGGAGGCCUAAUGAAGAAAAUAAAGUUACGAGAAGGUAAAAUAAUUACUUACCGACAAGUCUGGAAUUAUUAAAAUAAUUUAUAUCGGCUAGAAUAUGUUGACAUUUGACGUAUGAGUUUAUGUAAAGGUUAAUCACAUAUUUUUAUGAGAAUCUUAUAAUUAUCACGUUUAUGUUUGUUUAAGUCGAAAGAUUAAUUAUCAGAAUAGGUUACGAUAAUUACCGGCGAUAUAUAAUUAUUAUAAAGUGAUGAUUAGUUUAAUCAUAUAAAUUGUCAUGAAUAAUGUAGCUUAUCAUUUGAAGGAAGUUAUCAUUGCGUUUCCACGGGGUAGAACCUCCUCAGGGGGGGGGGGAGACCCGGGGAAAUCCCCUGAGGGGCAUCCGGAGCGCCGGAGGAAAGAAGCGCAAGGGCGUGAAGCUUUCCGUGGACAGGACAGGGUCCGUCAACUAGCUUAGCUACCGAUUGGGGGAUGCUUUCACCUUGAAGGUAUUAACGGGCUUGAGCCAGGCCACGCAAGCAAAGGAAAGAUUAAUUAUAGNNNNNNNNNNNNNNNNNNNNNNNNNNNNNNNNNNNNNNNNNNNNNNNNNNNNNNNNNNNNNNNNNNNNNNNNNNNNNNNNNNNNNNNNNNNNNNNNNNNNUCUGCUCUUUCCGGUAAGUGAGUAGGGCCAGUCCCACACGAUUAGCAUAGAUAAGACAAGUCAGGUAGGAUUGGUCGGAGAAGGAUUGGACAUUUCCAUUGAUCAGCUCAUCCAAUCCAGUCUAUGAUCAGGCAAGGGGGCCUAAAAGUAGACGUAACUAUAGGCUUAAGCUCGCUUAAAUGCAAUUUAUCCUUAGGCCGAAUACCUAGUUGAGAGGGGUCCCUAAUGUGAGACCCUUCGUCCAUUCAUUCAGGAUCAAAAGCGGGCCUAAUUGAAUCAUCUCAUCGAGGAUUGCAUGUGAAAAGAUCGGAUCUUCGAAAUCCCCAAUCGUUCGUUACUGAACCUAAAAACUCGCCGCUUCUCAUGUAAAGUAGUGUUCUCGCUAGCUGGAACGGAACUCUCAAAUGGAGGAACAAGCGUAGGCCUUCUUUGAGUAUAGCUUCAAGUAGCUCUAAGAAGUUUACGUCUCGGUUCGGCACUCGGCUUUCUGAAGUUCUUCCAUUCCAGGGCGUGAAGCUUUCCGUGGACAGGACAGGGUCCGUCAACUAGCUUAGCUACCGAUUGGGGGAUGCUUUCACCUUGAAGGUAUUAACGGGCUUGAGCCAGGCCACGCAAGAAAAGGAAAGAUUAAUUCUAGGCCAGUGAAAUGAAUUAGAUGGAAAAACACCGAUACAGAUAAGUUUUUCAGAACUUUUUUUUAUGUGUAAACUUAUUAAUUGUUAUGGGGAAGUACUUUAUGUAUUAUAUGUAAUUCUUAUGAAUUGUUUAAGAGGUGCACUAUGUGUUUUAGUGUGAUACGAAUUUAUUGAAAUUAAUUGAUGAUUGAAGUUAGUUUAGUUAUGAAAACUUACUAUAUUGUGAUAUGAGGAAUAUGAUAUGUGAUGCCCCCAAAUUCGGGUACUUGAAACCCUUAUUUAGUGCUUCAUGAUAUCAAGUAUUCAACAUAAUAUAAUAUCAAACAUAAUAAAUUUAUUACAUCAGAGUACUUCUAAUCCCAGGUACGUAGACCUAUAAGUGCUUAUUACAUGAUAGUUAAAUAUUUACAACAUAUAUAAACUAUCUACUACAUAAUAUUCCAGUUAUGACAUAACUUUUCCCUUUCCCCUGUCCUUACUAGACCCCUCUGCCUGAGCCUUAUUAGCUGAAAACAUUUAUAAAAAAAAGUAAGAAUGAGCAUUCAAUUGCUCAAUAAGUAAUAACAUUCUUUAAUAGCUCAACAAUAAAUAAAUGUUUUCUUUGAAGCAUGCUUUGACAGUGAAACAAAUAUGUAAACCAAAUAAAUCUUAAAUUAUCCAUACUCUUGGAAUCAUCAUAUCAAUUUUGAAUAGCUGAGAGGUCAUAAGACCAUGAACAUGAAUUUUUUUUCUUGAAAAGGUUCUAUCAGAAAUUUAUAUAUGAACCGUCUUAUCUUAUGGGCAUGGUGGGUGAUCAGCCCUUUAUGCCCUGUAUUGAUCAAUAUUCUUAUCCAAAAUAAUUUUUAUGUUCAACGUCACCACUCCUAGAGUGAAAUAAAAAUAUCCCACAAUAUAGUUGGAUAGCUUAAAUCAUGGCACAAUAAUAUUUUAAGAAUUAUUAUAAAGAAAUUGAAAUAUUUUACAUCUGUGUUUGGCCAGAACAAAUGGCUCAGACUUCCUUGUAAUCUGUUCAUGCAUAUUGAAUUUCAUUUGAUAUACAUGAAAAUACAUAACCCAAUCUUUUGAAGCUGAUUGGAAUAAAAAGGUUAUUUAACCUUGUAUUAUUCAUAAAGAAUGAGAGACAGUUCAAAAUUUAGAGAACAUAUCCAUAUAUGAAUAAUCCCAGAAUACUUGUGUUAGUUCCCAGUAGGCGCGAUAAAUAUCUAGAAGGGGGGGUUGAAUAGAUAAUUAAAUCUUUUUCUUUUAAUCUUUUUAAGUUGAUGGUAUUCAAUGCACAGCGGAAUGAGUAUAUGUGAAAAACCUUCUGUUAUAUAUCUUAAGUUAAUGAGAUUGAGGCAGUUAUGACAGUUAUAGCAGAUAUUGCAGUUAUAGCAGUUAGUGAACACAAUAGUUGUAAGUGGUUCAGAGCACUAAAAGCUCAUAGUCCACUCUUUUACUCCUUGAGUAGGAAAUCCACUAAGGAUGUCUGUUACACUUCUUGAAUCUCACAGAUUCUUUCUAGACCAGCAGUCUAGGUACUUCUUAGUUCACUCUUGAACUCUUCAAGUCCAGCAGACUUGGUCUCUCAUAGUUCACUUAGAACUCUUCAAGUCCUUCAGACCUGGAACUCUUACUUCAGUUGAUUGAAUGUUGUUUAGAUCGUGAUUGAUGCUAUUCAGUUUCUAGUAAGCACUUGUUUGAAAGAACUGAAUAGCUGAGCAAGCUUCCUUUUUCUCAGAUCGUAGAGUUGAGCGUUGAGUGUUCUUAUGCAUUUUUUUUGUUUAAUACUUGCUUCUUCUUUCUUAUCUGUCUUUGAUCUGUAUAUAUGUGAUCUUGAAAUCUAUCCGUUGAAGUCAUCUGAUGAGCCAUUAAAUGCAUUUGACAUUUCUGAGCUUUGAUGGAGACUUUUUUGCACAUCUUCUGAAUUACACUCUAGCCCACUGACACAGUAGACUGCUUUUUCCCCUAACACCUUAAAAGGUGUUUUCCUCUGCCCAAUGGUCCUUUUCUUAGCUUAUUGAGUACGUUUCUUUUGAUCAAUACUAAGGAUAUCUUUUGUACGUUGGGACUGGUGAGAGCUUCAACGUUCAAAACCCAUUCCAUAUUUGUUGGAGUCCAUCUUCAGAUGAACGAUAGGGCUUGAUGUUUCUGACACAAAACAGAUGACACUCUACUAUCAAUAUCAUAGUGUCUUCUCAUAUUGGUGCCUGUUCGUAAGAGAUCACUACGAUUUCUCACAAGGAUUUUCACACUAUGUUCUUCACUUACUCGUCUUGCAAACUCUACAUUUUCGAGAGCACACUACGAUAUUUUAACACUACGAUCUUCACUUGCUCGUCUUGCAGAUUCUGCAUUUUCGAGAGCACACUACGAUCUCUAGUUUCGGCAAAAGUCUGGACCACACUUCGAUUCGUGGAGAGGCCCUUCAAGGCAGAUACACUACGAUCAUCUCAGCACUACGAUCCUGCCUUAGCUUCUGCAUUCUAUUGAUCAACCGGAUAGACUGCGAGUCUAUCUAUUUCUUUCUAGCCAUAGAUCAACCUAACAGAUUUGAUCUCUUUAUCUAUACAAGUGAACAUUAAAGACUAAGAUCAACCUAACACUUUUGAUCUAUCACUAAGUCCUUGUACAUAUAUUCUUUGAAGGACUUUACAUAAUCAUGAGUAGUUUCAUAAAACAUCAAAUCACAAUAUGCAUUCUUCCAACAAUCUCCCCCUAUUUGAUGUUGACAUAACCAAGGAGAUUUGUUGUCAUGAUUAUAAAGUUUUAUAUGCAGUUGCAGAAAAAUAAACAUGACUUAGCAUUUCAGUGAGCAGCUGAAAUUUUUAAAGAAUAAGCAUGAAUUUAUUGAUGUAUGGAGACAAAUUUUACAUUUAAGAAUGACUACAUCAAUACAAUUUGAAAUUCAACUUAUCUCUAUUUCUUUGGCCUUUUGCUUCUUGGAGGAUUUGCAUAUUCCUCAGCUCUCCUCUUUCUGCUUGCUUCAUCUCUUCUGGCCAUAUCUUCCAGCUCACUUGGGCUUAGCCUUGGAUUGUGAUCAUGUCUAUUCAUGAAUGCAGGAUCUCUAAUUGGCAUUCUUAGACCUGUUGUUGUUACCGUAUGAGAGCUGGUGGCUGGCCCUAGACUCCUUAAGGGUUGAGCCAUUAAUAUUUCCUGCUGAUCAGAUCAUUGAGUCUGAUGGCUGGAUUGUGGAGUCUGCUGGUGGAUUUUCCUUACAGAAGGAUUCCUUGAGGAUUGAGGUUGGAGACCUCUACCUUUUCCUUUGCCUCCUGAUCUCCUCCUUUACCUUUAUUCUCCCCCUUUAUGUCAACAUCAAGGGUUCGAAUGUCAUCUGAAAGACGAUUAAGGCCUUGAACAAGCUCGUUGAGCUGACUCUUGGUCUGAGCAAUGUCUUCUCUAUUUUCUUUGAUUAGAGCUUCAGACCUAGCUUCCCUUUGCUGAAGGAUGGAGAGAAUGUUGUCUGUUUGCUCGCCAUUGCUGACAUAGAAUUGUUGAAAUUCUUUGACAGCAGUCUGAAGAUUUUGGAUGCUUUGUAUCAUUAGUUGGUUCUGAGAUUCUUGAGUUUUCUAUAGAAUCAAGACAACAUCCCGAUGUCUUUUAGCUGUGAGGAAGUGAAUAUCAUCCCUGUCCUUUAUGCUUUGUAGCAUUUCUUUGAUAAUCUCUUUGAGUGUUUUAGACAGUUCGGAGCUCAGGGAGCUUGGAAGAUUGUUUGCAGCAUUGAUCAUUGAUGUCAAUCUUAGCUGUAUCAAUGCAGUAUGAUCUUCAAGGCUCUCAUCUAGUUUUUUGAUCACUUUCUCAGACAUGGCUGACAAAUCAGCCUUUGUGGAUAGUUCUGAUAGGAAUUCAUCUAGAUUUGGAAUCUGUGAGGGAGGUGGCGUGCUCUUGAAUUUAUAUUGCAGUGAGUAGAGAGAAAGUUCAAGAUUGAAGCAUUCAUUUCUAGAUGAGGAGGGAAUAUCUGAAGGAGGGGCCUGUGUUUGGAUGUUGGAGCUUAGUGACUCUACGAUUUGUGGUGGAUACUCUACCAGGGGUCUAGAGUGAGGGAUCGUAGAGGUAGUAGGCUGAGUGAGCAUUAGGGAGUUAAUCUUAUUUGGUUCCUCAGUUACAGAAUUUUGAGAUUCUGUAACUAGAAUUGAUUCAGUUGAUGAAGAAUUACUUCCAACCAUUGCGGGAAUUCAUAGAAUUGAUUAAAUGAGGGUGGUGGCAAGUGAUUAAUUCUGACAGGAGUGGGGAUAUAUAAUACCUCAAGUGUGUUCUCUGAGGAAGGGCUGUUGGAGAGAAGCUUCUUGGCAAAAUUGAAUUUCCCUGGGAAUCCAUUUGCAAGUACUGAGAUAGCUGGAUACUCUUUGAAACUCCAGAACAUGUGAUCCCAAGAGUUCAGAAUUUGAGCUCGGUGGAAAGGCAUCAUAGGAAGAUAUGCAAAUAGUUGCUCAUAGGUGGAUCUUCUGUGCCCAUGAAUGCCUACAGCUAUAAUCUCAAUCUCAUCAUCUUCUUCUCUGUUUUCACUAGAGGAUUCCAUUAUGUCGAUUGCUUUAGGUUCUUCAUUAUCUCCUCCAGGAAUUUCUUUUUCAGCUAUUGAGGUGUCAUGAUCCUCCCCCUCAGCUUGAUCAUUCUUUUGAAAUGUCAAUAGCUCCCCCUCAACUGGAGCAUCCUCUGGUGGAAGAUCUUUAGGCAUCUCCCCCUCAGUAUGAGCACCUUCUAUCAUUAGAUCUUUAGGUGUCUCUCCCUCAGCAGGAGCCAUGACUACUUGACAUUCACUUGCUGGUUCCUUUUUAGCACUCAGUUCUUUUGCUUCCCUUCUUAGCACUUCUUCAUUGGCAAGAAUAUACUUCUUAACUAGUUUCCUUCUUGGCCUUUUAGGCUGUGCUACAGCCUCAGGACUCUCUUUAGUUGUGUCCUUCAGAUCAGCUAAGAUAUUUGAUGCAGUUGCUUCCUUGUUUGGUCUAGGCUCUACGAUCGGAGGAGACUUGACGAUCGAAGAGACUUGACGAUCGAAGAGGCUGAUGGCUUUUUACUUUUGUGGCUGGUCUUACUCAUCUUCAGCAACUGAGAUAUAGUUGCUCUAUCUUCUUCUGCCUCUGCUUGCUGUUCCUUUCUCCUUAGGAUCCUUAGAGUCUCAAUUUCUGAGGACUCUACAGGCUUGUUGGUGGUGGAUCCUUGAGGUUCUUCUGUAGUUCUGGCUUUCCUUUUCCCUUUGCUCUUUCUGAUUAAAGCAAUGGGUUCUCCCUGGUUAGUUUCUUCUUCUUCUUCCUCAGUUUCCUUGACAACAGACAUAUUCUCUGGCACUCCUGUUCCUUUUAUCUCACCAGUUCGACCACUGGAUUCAGACAUCAACUUCACAUUUUCAGCUGGAUUUCUCUUCCAGUUUUCAAACAACUGUUGGGUCAUUCGUCGAUUUGGGUUUAUGGCUUCUCCUUCAUCAUCCUCAAUCAGGUCACCAAGAGUAGCCUAUAGGAUAAUGAUGAUAAAUCGUCCGUAGAGCAUCUUCUGAGAGCUCUUUGUCUUCUUGGAGCUAACCAACCAUUUUCUAAUCCAUUCAAGUAAUAAAGCCCCAUAGUUUAGUUAAAUUUUAUAGCAUAUGGAAGUCAUGAGUUUGAGUUGUAUUUCAUUCACAGAGUCAUGACCUGAGCUUUUACAACAUAUGCAUUUUCCAACAAUGUUAGCCAAAAACUCAUACCUCUAUGGAAACUCCUUCUUUUUGUAUCCUUUGACAGAGGGUGAUUUCUUGUGAUGCAUUUUCUUGAGACCUUUAUGGAAGUCUAUUCCAUCUAAGGAUGGAUACCCUUCAGAUUUGAGCCCUAGGGCUAGAUUGAUGUCUUCAGCUCUUAAUUUGAUUUGGACGUUCCUUACUUUCAUGGUGAUGGUGUUGUUUUCAAACACUCCGUUAUUUUAGAAUUCUUUUACCAGCUUUGGGUAGAUCAAUGUGUCAGUACCCAAGGCUUCUUCGAGACCUGCCUUCUUUAGUAGCGACAAUGUCUUGUGAAAUUGGGGUUCAACCAUUUUAAACUCGUCGAAACACAGUCUGUAGCAGGAGACAACACUAGAAGCUGCCAUUGAUUUCUUUGUAGGAAGUGAGGCUGACAGAGCUUGCUACUGAUUUAGGGUUUCUGCUUGAGAGAGGAAGAGAGAGAUGGUCUUUUGAACUUCAUAUUUCAAAAAGGCGAUUUUAAUUUGUACCUGAAACUUCCCUCUCUUUAUUUUGCUUAGUGGGACAGGUGUCAAACUUUGCUUGGCUGUACGAAUUCUUGACAGAGAAGGAUUGUACUGAAUUGCCCUUAACUUCUUCUGGGAUGAUGUAUUCAUUAGUGGGACUACGAUCGUUGAGAUGGUCCUUGGAGUCGUCGAGUCUGUUCUACCAUCGUUGAGUCUGUGUAGCAGUCGUCGUGUCUGAGCUGUAAACGUAGAGUCUGAACUACGAUCAUUGAGUCUGACUGGCAAUCGCAGAGUUUGAAAAAGUCCUUGUGAUGAAUCUUUUUGACUUGGCAUUUUCCUUAAAUUAAGGUAGCUCAGGAAGGGCCAACCUCUUGAAAGAAACAAGGGUUAGGUUUGUUCCUGAGGAACUUAUCAGAGAGAAUGCUUUGAUUUAAUCUUGAUCAUCAUAGGGAGCUCCUUUUGUUUUGUUGAUGUAGUUCUAUUAUCGUUGAGUCUGCACUAUGAUCGUUGAUUCUGUUCAGCAUUCGUUGAGUUUUAUAUACUUUGGCUCUACGAUCGUGGACUUCCUUUGAUCAUGUCUUUUAUUUCAAAUACAACCUUUAAAUCUAUAUGGUUAGCAUAAAAUAAAGCAUAAUAUUUCAUGUUUGCAAGUUAAGCAUGCCUAGCUCACUUAUCAGUUUGUUGAAUCUGGAUUCAUCUAAAGGUUUUGUAAAAACAUCAGCAAGUUGAUUUUCAGUAGGGAUAUAUUGUAAAGAUAUUGUUCCAUUUUGUACAUGAUCCCUAAUGAAGUGAUACCUUAUUUCUAUAUGCUUAGUCCUAGAAUGCAUGACAGGAUUAUGAGUUAUAACAAUUGCACUUGUGUUAUCAUAAUGAAUAGGUAUGGAUUUGAAUUCAAACCCAUAAUCUGCUAGCUGAUUUUUUAUCCAUAGAAUCUGCGCACAGCAACUACCAGUAGCAAUGUAUUCAGCUUCUGCAGUUGAGGUAGAUACUGAGUUUUGCUUCUUGCUAAACCAGGACACAAGUCUGUUACCUAGUAAUUGACAAGUGCCACUGGUACUUUUUCUAUCUAUUUUGUAGCCUGCAAAAUCAGCAUCUGUAUAACCUGUUAGCUCAAAUGAGGAUUCCUUGGGAUACCAAAGCCCCAAGUGGGGUGUACCUUUGAGGUACCUGAAAAUCCUCUUUACAGUAGUUAAAUGAGAUUCUUUAGGACAUGCCUAAAAUCUAGCACAAAUGCAUGUUGCAAAUAUUAUAUCUGGUCUACUGGCAGUAAGAUAUAAAAGAGAACCUAUCAUACCUCUGUAUUGAGUUAUAUCAAUACUUUUACCUUUUUCAUCUUUGUUAAGCUUGGUUGCAGGAGCAAUUGGGGUUUUCAUGGGAGAGGCUGAUUCCAUACCGUACUUCUUGAGUAAGUCUUUAAUGUACUUGGCUUGGUUUAUGAAAAUUCCUUCAUCAGUCUGCUUUACUUGCAGUCCAAGAAAGAAGUUUAGCUUACCCAUCAUGCUCAUUUCGAAUUUGCUCUGCAUAAGCUUGGAGAAUCUCUUGCAUAACUUUUCAUUAGUAGAACCAAAGAUAAUAUCAUCAACAUAAAUUUGAACUAAUAGGACCUUAUCUUUAUGCUUUCUAAGAAAUAGUGUGGUAUCUAAUUUACCUCUAGUAAAUCCAUUUUCAAUAAGAAAGUUAGUCAGUGUUUCAUACCAUGCUCUAGGUGCUUGUUUGAGACCAUAUAAGGCUUUGUCUAAUCUAAAGACAUAAUUAGAAAGAAAUGGAUUGAUGAAACCUAGAGGCUUCUCUACAUUGACUUCUUCUUGAAGUUCACCAUUCAAGAAUGCACUUUUGACAUCCAUCUGAAAGACUUUGAACUUCAUGUGAGCAGCAAAGGCAAGGAAUAUUCUGAUGGCUUCUAGUCUGGCAAUAGGUGCAAAUGUCUCAUCAUAGUCAAUACCUUCUUUCUGAGAGUAGCCCUUGGCUACUAGUCUAGCCUUAUUCCUUGUUAUCACCCCAUCUUCAUCCAUCUUGUUUCUGAAGACCCACUUGGUUCCAAUUACAUGAUGGUUCUUUGGUCUUGGGACCAAUUUCCAAACUUUGCUUCUCUCGAACUGAUUAAGUUCUUCCUACAUGGCCUCUAUCCAGCUGGAAUCUUCCAUAGCAUCCUCUAUCUUCUUUGGUUCUAUUUGAGAUAGGAAGCUUAGAUAGAAGCAUUCAUUUUGAGUAGCAACUCUUGUCUUGAUUCUUGCGUUCGGAUCUCUAAUGAUUAGAUCUUGAGUGUGAUCUCUUGCCCAUCUGCUUCCUGUUGGAACAUCCAUUUUUAUGCCUUCUUGUCUCAGAUCUUCAAGAUUUAUUUCUUCUUCUUGAUGUGGAGGUUCAUUGUCUGGCAUAGGCCUCUCUACGAUCUCAUUCUCUUGCUUAACGAUUUCAUUAUUGGGCACUACGAUCAUAGUAUUGGGCUCGACGACCUCGUUCGCAUUGUCUUGGAGCACUAUUUUGUCUAAGUCUGUUUCAUCAAAGAUGAUGUGAAUUGAGACUUCUACACUCAGUGUCUUCUUGUUGAACACUCUGUAGGCAUUGCUGUCUGUGGCAUAUCCAAGAAAGAUUCCUUCGUCUGAUUUCGGUUGAAACUUUGUCAAGUACUUCUUUCCAUUGUUGAGUAUAUAGCAUGCACAGCCGAACACAUGAAAGUAGCUGACAUUUGGCUUUCUUCCUUUCCAAAGUUUAUAAGGAGUCUUCUUCAUCGUAGAGAGUAUGAGUGAUCUGUUCUGAGUAUAACAUGUAGUGUUGACCGCUUCUGCCCAGAAGUACUCCGGUAGAUGAGCUGCAGCUAGUAGAGUCCUUCCAGCCUCUAUUAAUGUCCUGUUCUUUCUCUCAGCAACUCGAUUUUGUUGGGGAGUUCAUGGAACUGAGAAGUUGUGACUAAUCCCAUUGUUUGUGCAGAACUGAUCCAUUUUUGAGAAAUCGAAUUCUCUGCCAUGAUCACUUCUUAUGUUCUUGAUUUUCUCUCCUUUCUCAUUCAUCACCAGCUUGAACAUCUUGAUUAGUUGGGGGCUUGUUUCAUUUUUUGAGGUUAGAAAAAAUACCCAUGUAAAUGUGGUGUAGUCGUCGACUACGACCAGUGAGUAUCUCUUUCCCCCAUGGCUCAUCAUUGGAAUUGAUCCAAAAAGAUCCAUAUGUAGUAAUUACAGAGGCUUGUCAAUUGAGUUGAUGGUUUUUCUCUUAAAUAAGCUUCUGGUCUGUUUCCUAAGUUGACAGGCAUUGCAGGGCCUUUCUUUAACGAAGUUGAAUUUGGGUAGGCCUGCAACUAGAUCUUUUGAAGCUAAUUUGGACAUGCUUUUGAAGUUGAGAUGAGAUAAUCUUCAAUGCCAUAGCCAGCUCAUUUCUUCAGAUGCUUUAGUCAUAAAGCAUAUUGUCUCGUCUGAGCUUAGUUGUCCAAGAUUUACUGUGUAGACAUUUCCUUCUCUUGUUCCGGUUAGCUUUACUGCAGAUGUCUUCAGGUCUCGGACUUGACAUUGAUUGUUGAUGAAUGUUACUUGAUGACCCUUGUCAUAGAGUUGGCUAAUGCUUGGAAGGUUGUGCUGUAGUCCUUCCACAUAGGCCAAUUUACUGAAUGAUACUGCACCAUUUUCGGCUGAGCCAUAGCCUCUUGUCUUGCCAGUGCCAUUAUCUCCAAAUAUGACUGAGGGACCUUCCUUCUCUAUGAAGUUAGACAGAAGGGCUUUGUUCCCAGUCAUGUGCCUUGAACAUCCACUAUCCAGAUACCAGGUUGUGUUUGUGGAGCUCCUUUCCUGAGGUAACAUUAAGCCUUCAUUUUGGUACCCAUAUUUGCAUGGGUCCUACUAUGUUAGUACCCUUGGGGACCCAAAUCUGCUUUAUUUUGGGUCUCACGUGCAUGGAAUUAUAAUGAUAAUUCGCAGCCUUAUGACCAACUUUGUGGCAUUCAAAGCAUUUGAUAUGAUGCAUGUAAGUGUGUUUGUGAAAGUUCUUCCUCCAUUUGGACUUUUGUGGGUUAUUGGUCAUCCUUCUACUAGGUUGAUAUCCCCUUUUCCAUGUGUUCUCUUGUUUCAUUAAUUGAGGAGAGUAUAUCUCACUUCUACUGUGUCUUCCUGGUUGGUUCGUAGAGUUGAUUUUAUUGGACUCUACGAUCCUUCGAGGUUGAUAAGUAGUAGCUAGAUUACUUCUCUUUUCUGAAACCUAGACCAGCAUGAGAUCCCUUACUCUUGGGAAUAUGAAUUGAAUUAUCCAGACAGGGUUUGACAAGCUCAUCAUUCUGUGAGGAUUUCACAAAUAUAAUGCCUUUACUAAAACCUGAGGCAUUACUAGUGUUAACAUCCUUUGUUUUUUCCACACAUGACUCUGAGAUAGAUCCCCCAAAGCCUAGCCAUGUUCUAUCAGAGACAUUUCUCUGAUUAGAGAUUAAAGAAUCCAUGAUUGAAGAAGAUUUAUUCUAUGUGGAGAUGGUCUUUUUUAGAUCCUCAAUUUUUGAGGUUAGACUAGACUCUUGUUUUGCACUAAGCUCAUUUGUUUAUCUUAAGAGCUUAUUCUCAGCUUCAAGCUCAGAGAAAGAAUUAGCACUGAGAAGGGUUGUUUCCAGUUCUUCUUGAACCUUUUCUUUCUCCUUUUUAAGAAGUGAAUAAUCCUUAGACAGAACUCUAAACCACUUCAUGUAUUGGUGUAGAUCAGAUGUUAUGCCAUGCAAUGUAGUUCUAAGAUCAUCAAUAUCUACAUCAGGAGAGUUAAAGUCAAAUACCUCAUCGAUACUUACUUCGUGUAUGUUAGAGUUCUGUUUGUCCCUUGCAUUUUUGACCAUCAAGCAGAGAUUUGCUAUUUGAGGGUCUUCAUCAUCCCCAGAUUCAGGAGUUGAGUCAUUGUCUAAGUCACUCCACGAUCCUCCAGCUACAAGACCUUUUUCUUUCUUCUGUGGCCCUUUGUUGCCUCUGUAUUCUUUCUUUGAAUGAGAUUUCUUCUUGAGUUCUUCUCUAAGAGGUUUGUUACAAUUUGCAAUAAAGUGGCCUGAUUUCUUGUAAUUGUAGCAUAGGUCAUUCAUUUGCUCCUGGCUGCUGUAGUUGCUGACUUUCUUUGGCUUGUUGGUUUUGCCUCGUCGCAUGAACCUUCUUAGCCUUUUCACUAGCAUUACAAGGUCCUCAUCAUCAUCUUCAUCAUAAUCAGAAUCAACUUCAGUGCUGACUUUGGAGGCGUUAUCUGUUGCUUUAAGGGCUACACCUUUAUCCUUCUGCCUACCUUCAGAUAAGGUUUCUGCUCGUUGAGUCAGCUCCAGUUCAUAUGUGAGAAGGUUGCCAUACAACUGUUGAACAGUCAUUUCAUGUAGAUUUUUGGAUUCUCUAAUGGCAGUGGUUUUGGCAUCCCACUUGCUUGGUAAGGCUCUCAUGAACUUUAUGAUUAGAUCUUUGUUAGGAUAGAUCUUCCCAUAGGCUCGUAGAGAGUUGAGCAGUACAUUAAAUCUUUCGUAAGUGGCAGUAACGUUCUCUCCUUGAACGUGAGCGAACAUCUCAUAUUGCUGAGUCAAGAGAGAUUGUUUGUUUUCUCUGACUUCUUCUGUUCCUUCAUGCAUGAUGAGCAGUGUUUCCCAAACCUCCUUCACUAUUUUGCUGCUGACCACAUUUUUGAACAGAUCAUCUUUUAAAGAUUGGAACAAGAUGUUUUUGGCCUUUUUCUCGAGCUGGAUAGCUCUCUUCUCGUUCUCUGUCCAUUCUUCCUUGACCUUGAUCUGUACUCUGUUUGGGUCAUCUGUAGUUGGUGCAAGCUUUGUAGGAACAUAGGGUCCAUUCUGAACAGUUUCAAAUAGAUCUUCAUCUAUUUCAUCUAUGUAAGCUUGUAUCCUAACCUUCCAGUUAGCAAAUUUUUCUUUGUUGCACAUUGGUGGCUUGCUGCCUCCUCCAGUCUUUGAUUCGCUUGGUAAGUGUGCCAUUGGAUCUACUUAAGCUUUGUAGGUUGUAUUAUAGAACCUUCUUUGAUACCAAUUGUUAGUUCCCAGUAGGCACGAUAGAUAUCUAGAAGGGGGGUUGAAUAGAUAAUUAAAACUUUUCUUUUAAUCUUUUUAAGUUGAUGGCAAUCAAUGCACAGUGGAAUGAGUAUAUGUGAAAAACCUUCUGUUAUAUAUCUUGAGUUAAUGAGAUUAAGACAGUUAUGACAGUUAUAGCAAAUAUUGCAGUUAUAGCAGUUAAUGAACACAAUAGUUUUAAGUGGUUCAGAGCACUAAAAGCUCCUAGUCCACUCUUCUACCCCGUGAGUAGGAAAUCCACUAAGUAUGUCUGUUACACUUCUUGAAUCUCACAGAUUCCUUCUAGACCAGCAGUCUAGAUACUUCUUAGUUCACUCUUGAACUCUUCAAGUCCAGUAGACUUGGUUUCUCACAGUUCACUUAGAACUCUUCAAGUCCUUCAGACCUGGAACUCUUACUUCAGUUGAUUGAAUGUUGUUUAGAUCGUGAUUGAUGCUAUUCAGUUUCUAGUAAGCACUUGUUCGAAAGAACUGAAUAGCUGAGCAAGCUUUUCCUUUUUCUCAGAUCGUAGAGUUGAGUGUUGAGUGUUCUUAUGCGUUUUUUUCGUUCAAUACUUGCUUCUUCUUUCUCAUCUGUCUUUGAUCUGUAUAUAUAUGAUCUUGAAAUCUAUCUGUUGAAGUCAUCUGAUGAGCCAUUAAAUGUGUUUGACAUUUUUGAACUUUGAUGGAAACUUUUCUGCACAUCUUCUGAAUUACACUCUGGCCCACUGACACAGCAGACUGCUUUCUCACCUAACACCUCAAAAGGUGUUUUCCUCUGCCCAAUGGUCCUUUUCUUAGCUUCUUGAGUACAUUUCUUUUGAUCAAUACUAAGGAUAUCUUUUGUACGUUGGGACUGGUGAGAGCUUCAAUGUUCAAAACCCAUUCCAUAUUUGUUGGAGUCCAUCUUCAGAUGAACGAUAGGGCUUGAUGUUUCUGACACAAAGCAGAUGACACUCUACUAUCAAUAUCAUAAUGUCUUGUCAUAUUGGUGCCUGUUCGUAAGAGAUCACUACGAUUUCUCACAAGGAUUUGCACACUACGUUCUUCACUUGCUCGUCUUGUAAACUCUACAUUUCCGAGAGCACACUAAAAUAUUUUAACACUACGAUCUUCACUUGCUCGUCUUGCAGAUUCUGUGUUUCCGAGAGCACACUACGAUCUCUGAGUUAGUUUCGGCAAAAGUCUGGACCACACCUCAAUUCGU